AAAUAACUCUACCGCUACCGAUCACUACACUAUCAUGCUCUACACUAACCAACUGUAGGAAAUGUCAACUCUGACCCAAUCCAAUCGGGACUGUAAGCAUACCCGUCCUCGGGACUGUGAAUACACCCGUCCCUGCCCCAUUGCGACUAUCAAGCUCUAUCCACACUAACUGGUCCGUGGAGAGCAUGUUCAACUGGCAUGAGCGAUACCAACGCGAAAGCACACAAAGCCUGACUCCGGAGUGGCACUCGUGGGCGCUACCCAACCGAGUAUGCAGCGUAUCUCUGUCGAGCUCAAUCAGGCUCCAACUAGCCAACGUCAAGUGAACAGGGUCAAAACAGGUCUACAAACCAAACCCACGUGCUCUCGGCACAAUCUGUGACCUAAACAAGAAUCUGGGUCCACCGCUAACCCGAACGGCACCCAACGACCCGAAACAGCCUAAACUCUGCUGAAAAAUAAGCUCGGCAUCUCAGCACGAGCGUAAAUGCCUUCUAAACUACCCCAGGUAUCCAUCGCAACGAUACUGCAAUGAUACAAUCGAAUCACGGCUCCUAGAGCUAAAUCUGGUAGUUUAAGCAUAUGACGAUUCCAAUCGUGUUUUCUCCUAAGUCAAAUCCAGUCCAACAUGUACAUUUAAGAUUUACUAGUUAUGUUCUCAAUACUGAUUAUAUCCAGGAUAGCAUCACGAAUAUCAAGCUACAACAUGAUUGCCGAACUAAAAAUCAUACAUGUCGACGAUUACGGUACUUAGGAAUAAACCGAUGUAAACCCACCUCGAAAGCUAUCCCCUGGCAGCGGUACACUCUCACAGCUGUGGCGCCACCUGCUGGGUCGAUCGUAGCCCUUCGAACCCAAGAAUCGCGCUAACUCCAAGCUCUACACCAAACAAUUCACCGUUUCAGUCUAGUUUUCGCAGCAGUGGAGUACAAUAAGAAUUCGACCAAGCUAACCUUCACCAAAUCCAGCAAGUAAGGGCUUCGCGGAUUCCUCUCGCAGUCCCGAAUCCAACGAACUAAGCCUCGUCGAAAUCCGAUGCUCCUACGUCGAGAACGAGCUGAAAUACUAACAGUCGAUGAAGAAAUUCAGCAAACAACAUCUCUCCGAGUUGAAGUAGUAAGAACUUGCCCAAAAUCCAAGGAAAGGCUGAAUUACUCACCUCGACAGCGACUAGCACCGGCGCGACGUCAAGAACAGCGAAGUCGCACGCUCGCCCGGUCUCCUCGCAAUGCCCCGGCGUCAAAUACGUGCUCGAAUGAUCCCGCGGUACGUCGGCGACGAAACUCCCACCGAGCUCCACCGUGCUCAAGGACACCGCUAGAGAGAGAGAGGAGAAGAAGCAGAACAUUCCCUCUCUGCUCUACACCAAGCUAUAUAGAGGGAGAGAAAAGGAUUGAUACAAACGAGGGAGAGAAAAUUACUCAUUUAACCCUCUACCUACCCCCUUGUACCGGUACANUUCAAUAUACAAAAUAAAUACAUGAAUUACGGUAUUAUAAUAUUAAGAAAAACAUUUUAGGGGAAGCGAAUCUACAAUCAAGUGAAAGAGAGCGCGAGAGAGAGUAAUUAGAGUAGGGUUUUACCGAUUUAUUAGUUUUGUAGGCCAGCAAAUAUGCCCAAUAAUCUAAACUCAUAUACAUAUGAUUAAAAUGCAUAAUAUAUAUUAUUAUAUAUAAUUAAAAUAUAUAUUAUAUUAUAUAUAAUUAUACAAAUAUAUAAAAGUAUUUUUAAGAUAUAUAUAUAUAUAUAUAUAUAUAUAUAUAUAUAUAUAUAUAUAUAUAUAUAUAUAUAUUAUAAAAUUAAUUUUGGUUCAGGUCGGGUUCAGAUAAAAUCUAUAUCUGAAUUCAAAUCUACCGGAUUUUUUUAUUUUUUUUUAUUCGUAUCCAAAACUUAUCCGUUUAGCAUCGUAUAAAUCAGCUCCGUUCAGAUUAGGUUGCAGGUAAAAUUUCGGGUAUUCAGUCCUCAAAAUAAAGGGCUUAUGCCAAAGAUGGACCUAUUUAAGAUCGAAAUAAAGUACAGGGGUUUUAUUUAUAUAAUUAAGCUAAUUUUCCGACAUGUUUUGUAAUAAUAGCAAAUAUUUUUAAUUUUUUAAUGAAUGGGUUUAAAUCCACGUAGUGGGGUUUAAACAACAACACGCAAAACCCAAAAAAAAAAAGUAGUGGGGUCCACAAAGUUAUAUGUGGGUGAAAAUGUGGGUGUCGAACAUUCGGGUGCCCUAAUUUGAAAUUCAUCUCGAACCUAGGGUUUCGUCUCGAACGGAAAAAGUAUAUUGGUGGGGACGCGUCGCGACCGUGAGACCAUGGCGUCGACCGUCCAUCAGGAGCUCCGCACGAAUCCUAAAGCAUCGCGGACGGGGGAUCGCGUGGUCUCGCGUUGGGGGUGUGGGGUACAUCCCCACCAUUUCUUUUUUUUUAUUUAUUUAAAGUUCUUUUUCGCGAUUAAAUCUAUAAUAAAAAGGAGCCCCCUUUCUCGCGUCGUCUCCUUCCUCCCCACACUCGUUCCUCUCUCCGAGCUCGUACCCCCUUUCUCCUAGGGUUAGGGUUAGGGUUAGGGUUGGGGUUCGCUCUCGAGCUUGGGCUCUGCUGGUGCUGCUUCUUGUAGGGUUUCGGUUGGUGGAUCGCGUCGUUGCGGCGGAGAUGUCGCUGAGGCCGAGCGAGAGGGCGGAGAUCCGCCGCAACAAGUACAAGGUGGCGGUGGACGCGGAGGAGGGGCGGCGGCGGAGGGAGGACAACAUGGUGGAGAUCCGCAAGAACCGCCGCGAGGAGAGCCUCCUGAAGAAGCGCCGCGAGGGCAUGCAGGCGCAGCAGAUGCAGCAACAGGCCUUCGCCCCGUCGAUCCACGCCUCCGCCCUCGAGAAGAAGGUGUGGGUUCGGAUCCUCCCCCCUGUAGAUCGGGUUUCUAGGGUUGUGGUUUUUGAAUCUGAAGUUUUGGAGGUCUCGGGUUAGGGUUUUGGAUUGGGGAAUCGGUGAUUUGUGUUUGAUUUCGUUGUGAUUGUUUCGAAUUUGCAGUUGGAGAGCCUCCCGGCGAUGGUCGCUGGGGUUUAUUCCGACGAUAGUACUCUCCAGCUCGAGGCGACUACGCAAUUCCGCAAGCUACUAUCAAUAGGUAAGCAACAUCAAAAUUGUUAAUUUGUAAUUUGUAACUCUUUUAAUAAGUUUGCUUUUCGUAUCCAUCUUAUAAUGAUCACCGCUAUAAAUUUAGAGCGAAGCCCUCCCAUUGAGGAGGUUAUUGCAUCUGGCGUGGUUCCCCGCUUCGUGGAGUUUCUCACUAGAGAGGAUUAUCCCCAACUUCAAGUUAGAUAUUCUUGGAUUGAUAGAAAAGAUCCCUUUUUUAUUGUUGUUUCAAUUAAUUUUUAUCCGUGUGUACCUGAUUUGGAUUGUAUGGGCAGUUUGAAGCAGCUUGGGCGCUGACUAAUAUUGCGUCAGGGACCUCGGAGAACACUAAGGUUGUAAUUGAUCACGGUGCCGUCCCGAUUUUUGUAAAGCUAUUGAGUUCCCCGAGCGAUGACGUCCGAGAGCAGGUAUAGCUUUUAUGAUGAGAUUCUCGAACUAAGUUCUCUAGUGUAUCUUGAUAAAUAAGACCCGAAAGGUGGAUUUUUUAAAGUGUUUUUUUAACUUGAUUUUCGUUUGUGAUGUAGCUAAUCUAUGAAUGCUGUGCUCACUUUGUAUGUAGGCUGUGUGGGCCUUGGGAAAUGUUGCUGGUGAUUCCCCCAGAUGCCGAGACCUUGUUCUUGCCCACGGUGCCCUGUUUCCAUUGCUGCAACAGCUGAAUGAGCAUGCGAAGCUCUCGAUGCUGAGAAAUGCCACAUGGACUUUGUCAAACUUCUGUAGGGGAAAACCACAGCCAGCCUUUGAACAGGUUUGAUGUUAGUUAUAGGAUUAAGUUUUUACUUGUUAUUAAACUUCGGUUGUACUUGUAAUUUUAUUGAUCCCUAUUGUGUUUUGCUGCAAUUAGGUUAAGCCCGCUCUUCCAGCACUUCAGCGCCUUAUCCACUCGAACGAUGAGGAAGUCCUCACCGAUGCUUGCUGGGCCCUUUCGUAUUUGUCUGAUGGUACCAACGACAAAAUCCAAGCUGUCAUUGAAGCUGGCGUCUGCCCACGUCUCGUGGAGCUUCUUCUGUAUGCGGCACCUGCUCAGAUUAUUUACAUAGUAUGGUUUAUUAAGAUGCACUGAUAUCGUAAUUUUUUUUUAACUCUUUUUUUUAUUUUUUAUUUUUAUCAGGCAUCCUUCUCCUUCAGUGCUUAUUCCAGCUCUUCGAACUGUCGGUAAUAUCGUCACUGGGGAUGACAUACAAACACAGGCAUGUUACUUUUUUCCGUCUUACAUUUUGCUGGACUUCUCCCUUUCCUUUCUUCUCAUGUUUGGUCAUUUUAUGAACUGUGGAUUAGCAAAUUAUGACAGUAUGCCAAUUUUGUGCUUCGAUCUCUGUAUUCACAAUUCGUAAUUUUAAACUACAAGCAUGAUUUCUUAUAUGACAUUGGUUUAUAUAAUUAAAAUGUGCUUGUGACAUGCUAAUAACUAUUGCAUACUCUUUCUGGAAUUUCUCAGUUGGCUUGUUACUACGAGUGGUGCAGUAGAAACUUUUCCAAUUUUUAAUCCAUUAGGCGUUUCACGUGUAUAUUUUGUGGUUCAUUCUCUGGGUUGCUGCCUUUUCUACUUUUUAUUUUCAUGAGGUUUAUAUACAGCUAUUAGUAUGUUACUUUUAGUUUCUGUUAUUUAUGUAGGCGCUAGUGAAGUUUAAUUAGUCUUAGUUUCCUUUUUUUGGGGUAUUCUAUGCUUUCAGCAAGUCAUUUGUUUCUCCAAAUGCUGCAUAUUUUGCUAAUAAUAAUGGGUGGGGUAUUUUGAAGAAGCUAAAUUUUACAGGUAAUUUGUGUCUGUAGACCUCAACUCUUGGAUCAUAAUUUGUCUAAUGUUUGCGACAAUACUAAGUACUUAAUUGCUAUUAUUGACAGCUAUAAGCCUGGAACUAUUGUUUAAUGUGUGUGUAUUAUAAAUGAACUUCUUAUUUAGGAGUUGGUCAUCUGCAAGAGUUAGCUCCAAGAGUUGGUUUAACUAUUACUUUUGAUCAUUGUAAACAUUGUAGUUGGUAGGUUCUUAUUUUUCUUCCUGGUGUUUUGUUACAGCUUAGUAUUUAGUAAGAAUGGAGUUUGGAUGGGUUCUUUUCUCUAACUUCUUUGUUGUUCAUUUGCUUGAUUGAAAUUCAGAUCAUGCAUAAGUCCUAAUUUUUCGGUCAGUAGGCAUUAUUGCAUUUAUUGUCAUCGUUUUCUUAUUCUUUGAAAAUUAUAAAACUUGUCCAUGUGAAACUUGUGUGUACUUUCUCUUGCAACAUGUUUACUUAAUUCUUAAGAACAAAUUAAUUUUUGAGAUAAUGUUUACAGUCAAGCGACUUAUUUCUUUCUGUUUUGUUGUACGAAGCAUGUGGAAUGUUAAUAAUUUAUAUUUUUGUGAGCUAGUGAAGUCCUUUUACUUACAGUGAAGAGCUUUGAAUGUUUGUUCUAAUAGUUUGUCUUUACUGUGAUAUAUUUGAUGUUUUUUACCCCAAUAUAUUUUAUUUUUCUACAAUUUGUGUACAAGAGUUAUGAUGUUCAAGUAUAUAAAGAGUUGGUAUACAAAUAGUUUUCAGAUUAAUUGAUGCAAAUUUAGGCAUGGACGAUUCAUAGUUUUACUAAUUUACUCUUUGUUGACAUGGAAAUGGGGUGGAUUUUGCUUUAGAACUUUGUUCUUCCGAAUAAAUGAAAGAAGAAAUAGAUAUAUUAAAGAGAUAGAGAAAGAGGUAAAUAAGAUGGCCUUCGUUGAAAUGAAUUUAAUACACGGUCUUGUUUCUUUUAUUUUAUUCUUUCUUGAGCCAAGCUUCGGAAUGAAGAGUUCUUGGUCAGACAGGCCUCUUUCAAAUAGGAUAAUUUUGUCCUUAUCCUAUACACAUGAUACGUCUUAAUUUGUUUCUAGCAUGUUAUCUUUUUAUUUUUUUCCUCCUCUCUUGUCCUAUUUUAUCUUUCCCCACCAAGACACUAAACCUUUUUUUGGUGUUUGCUUUACUUUGGACUUUUCUAAUUGAAAAAAUGUGCACUGAAAUCCCUUUAUGAAAUUUAACAAAGAAUGGAAACUACAUGUAAAACUCUAUCUAGAUCCAAGUUCCAAACUAGUGAAACUCGAAAUCAUUUUAUUCCCUGUGUUGUGUAUUGUCCAAUAGAUUAUACUCCCCAUCAUUUGGCUGAACCUAAGAGUGGAUGAUGAGCACCAAUAACUAAAUGCAAUAUAGAGUUUGAAAUAUUAGGCUUUUCUUGGCAGCAAAUUUAGGAUCGUGUAGUUGCAAAUUGUCUCUAAGCACACAGUUGUAGGUUUAUCAAAUACCCAUGCAAGGUUUAAAGUGCCGUGGCAUGGGGACGUGCCGCUGUCUACCUGGCACGGUACGGCACCGGCACGCUUGCGUGCCGACACAUGGUACGCUUGCGUGCCGAUGAAUACGGACGACCUCUUACUGGCAUACUUUGGCACGGACUUAUUUCAGUUAUUUUGGUUCCAAUAAGCUCUUAUAAAGUUAUUUUGAAAGAUUUAAUCAAAUAAUUAUGAGUAUUUGCUAUGUAUAGCUUACUAUACUCAUUAAUUAAUAUAUUUGUAAAUUUUUUUGUAUGUAAAGUACAAUUAUACCUGAUCCAUAAUAGAAAUUUUUACAGCUUAGAAUUUUUAAAAUGCAAAGAUAUAUUUUUUUCUUUUUUUCUUUUGACCAUAUUAUAGUCUUUCUUUCGUAAAAUACAAAAAAAAGUUUUAAAAAUUAUUUGAAAAAAUUAUUUUAAAAAGCAUUUGAAAAAAAUAUUUUUUAAUUAAUUUUUUCAAAAAAUUAGUAGAUCUAUCAAAAAAAUUAAGCAAUAAAUUAUAUGACAAAUAAAUUAAAUAAAUUUAAGUAUCAAUUGAUUUAAUUUAGCUUUUAAUUUUAUCAGUAUGUUCAAUCUUCUAUUGCAAAAAUAAAAUUUUAUGUUUGAUGUAGCUCAAAAUUUGUUUAUUGAAUUCAAUUUUGUUCCCUUAAUUCGCCAAAAAUUUCACGAUGCCACAAAUUUUGAUAAAAAUAAUUUGUGAAGAAAAAAUAGAUAUUUGUGGUGGAAGCGGAGGGCUGGGACAAAUCUUUUGUCCGUAUAUUGAUAAACAAAAAAAAUUAAAUUAUAAAUUUUUUGACUUACCUAAUAAGUAAAUUUUCGAUUUGCAAUAUAUUUGGGGGGGCAUGGGGUAUCUAGAAUGCUUUGGAUACCCCAAAGAACAAAAAAAGAAAAAAAAACAAAAAGCAAAUAAAAAAAAGCAUAGUGCCGGCCGGCACUGUGCUGUGGCACGCAGCGCCGUGUCGCUUUGCACGGCGCUGCGUGCCGCGGCACGGAGGGGGGUCCGAGACCCCCCCUGUACCGUGCCACCUUCUUGGUGGCACGGCAGGUGCUGCCCUGUCCUGUACGGCACGGGGCGGCACUUUAAACCUUGUACCCAUGUGUAUGCUGCUGUCUUGAGGAUUGAUGAUUGAGCAGACUCUUGUUGUCCUUCGUGUCCAUCAGCUUCAUCAUUUCUUAUCUUUGUGCUGGUUCUCAUGGAAUUGGUUGGAGGAUUAGUCUAAUUUCUUCAAUGUUUGAGAAAUUGAUUCAGAAUUAUUUUUUGUUUUCUAUAACUUCUAUAAUCAAGUACUGCUGAGUCAAAGGUUGGAGAUGAUGGGUGAUUUCUAUGUAUUUUUUGCCAGUUUAGCGCAACAUCCUUCAGUCACGUGAUGCUGAAGUGUUGGUUGUGAAGAGCGAAUUCCUGUUUGGAUGAUAUGAAUCUUAUGUUUAGACAUUCGGAUCUAUGACUCCAAUAUUGUGUUAUAUUGCUUUGAUAUUGUUACUUGUCACCAUUAAUUUUUUUUAACUCUCUAUCCUUGGCUGGUCAUAAACUAAUUAAUAUAAUAUUGACUUUAGAACUAUUUUCAUUGAUGAUUUUCCCAUAUGUUCUCUUGAUUAAUUUGAAUAAUUGACAGUAGUUAAUUUGCAGCUAUUUUCAUUCCUUACAGUAUCUAUUAAGGGUGUUUGAUAAUUUCACCAUAGAUUUUAAUGGUGAGUGUUUUUGUUGCUGAAUUAUGAUGGAUGAUGGAUGUGAAACAGAUUGUAUGGGUUACAUUUGUGAAGCUAUGUUUCUGUUGAGUCUCUAUGUGUAUUCUUAUUGUUACUCUUGCAACUUUGUCUGCUAAGUAUGUUCUCAUUUUUUCCCUUUUUUCUUUUCAAGAUGCAAUUAUCUUUUUUGAAGGAAGAUACAACUAUCUUUGGUAAUCUGUUUUUUAUAUGAAGUUUUCCUGUUUCUUCCUUGCAGUGUGUGAUCGAUCAUCAGGCUCUUCAAUGCCUUUUGAAUCUCUUGACACAUAAUCAUAAGAAAAGCAUUAAGAAGGAAGCUUGCUGGACUAUAUCAAACAUCACAGCUGGAAAUAAGGAUCAGAUCCAGGUAUGUGUAAUGAAAAGUAAUAAAUUUUUACUUAGAUAUCAGGUUCUUUCUUUGUUUUUUGUUGUCUGAUUUUUCUGAGGUCAGAGGAACAUGGAAGUAGAUAGCUUUUAACUCUAUUAUUAUUGGUUUCCAUCAUACUUGAUAAUGGAAAAACAAUUGCUAUUAACUUGCAUUUAUAUAAUAAUAAAGUGAACUUGCAAACUAACUGGCUAUUACAGAUAAAGAAAUGCAAAAGUAUAUCCUUAGAUGCUUUUAACUGUGUGAAGAAACUUGUGGAAAAACAAAAUUAAAAAAAAUAAAAAUGCCAGCUGAGCUACUAAAUUUGCCACAAAAUUGACAUUUGUUAUUAUCUAAAAUCUAGCGUAGACUAUGUGAUCAAUGUUAUUUUAUCUCUAUUUUGUUGUAAUAAACUGGGUUUCCUCAAUAGAAGCAUCAAGAUGAACGUUAAUAUGUUAAUUGAUAUUUAUAUGUAGUGAAUUAGUCUGUAUUGAAUGAGUUGAUAUCUUAUUUCUUUAUUGUUUAUGUUAUAUUUUACUAUUUUGAUGACAUAUAAUUGUUUAAUAAUAGGCUGUGAUUGCUGCUGGUUUAAUUGGCCCUCUUGUGCACCUCCUCCAAACUGCUGAGUUUGAUAUCAAGAAAGAGGCAGCUUGGGCUAUUUCAAAUGCUACUUCCGGCGGCACACAUGACCAGAUAAAGUACGCAGAUACUAAUUUAUGCAUCCUUUGAUAAAUUAUGACAUUAAUAGCUUAGUUGCAGGCCCUGUCAAAUGGAGGAAAUUUUGUAAAACUUCUUUUAUAUUUGAUUGACAUCCCCCCGACUUUUUGUUUGUUUUGAUUAAAAGUUAUUUUAUCAUUUGAAGUGGGGAUCCCGAUAGAUAUAACUGCUCUGGAUAUGUUUUUAGCUGUUAGGUUUAAAUACUCAGCUGAUAGGUGACAGGGGCAUCAAAAUUAAUAGAAUUUCCUAAUCAAAUGAUUGAAAUAACUCGGAUCAAAUGGAACAAAAGUUGAGCAAAGCUGCUGCUGUUCAGAGAAAAUGUAGGAGUCUAUCUCAAGAUGGCCUAAAGUUGGUGGAGUCUGUUCAUGUUUCCUUAAUUGUAAUUACCUAACAAUUUUUUAUUUCCCCCUUCUCAAAUGGAAGAAAAGUUGAAGGUGCUAUUGUUCAAAGAAAAUGUAGGGUCUUUUUCAAAAUGUCCUAUAGUUGCCCGGGUCUGGUCAUUUUUCCUAAGUUGUAAUUACCUAACACUUUUUUAUGCCCCCCCUCCGACAGGUAUCUUGUUAGCCAGGGUUGCAUCAAGCCGCUCUGCGACCUUCUGGUGUGCCCGGACCCACGAAUUGUCACUGUUUGCCUAGAAGGCCUUGAGAACAUCUUGAAGGUCGGGGAGGCUGAGAAGAAUCUGGGCACGACAGGGGAUGUGAAUGUGUAUGCCCAGAUGAUCGAUGAGGCCGAGGGCCUAGAGAAGAUUGAGAAUUUACAGAGCCACGACAAUACGGAGAUUUAUGAAAAGGCCGUGAAGAUCCUCGAGACGUACUGGCUGGAGGAAGAGGAGGACGACACCGCUAUGCCCUCAAGUGGUGAUAAUAAUGGUGCUCAGCCUGGUGGGUUCCGUUUUGGGAGUGAGCAGGUCUCCGUUCCAUCUGGUGGAUUCAAGUUUGGUUGAAAGGUGCGGGCCCUUAGUUUUCUCAAGGUUUUGUUUCGUUUUUCUUUUUGUGGUUGAGGGCUUGUUUCGUGCGACUGGUGGUUAUAUAGUUUAUUAUUAAAAUUAAAUCAAAAGCUUAGGGUCUGAGGAGAACCAAAAACUUUUGUUAAAAAUACCUGCCUGCAGCUUUCUGCAACAGCAGAAGUAGAAAUUUCAAGUUGGAACUUCUUUCAAGGCUCACAAGCUGAUCUCAGCUUCCUGCGGCAGCACCUAGACCUUCUCUUUGCCAAACGGCAGGCUGUUGCCUUUUGGAAUAGAGAAGCUGCUCUAGAAGCUAACCGUACGCACCUGAUUGGGAGGGCUGAAUUAGAGCUUCUGCUUCGAGUCCAGAAGCUUAUUUCAGCCUCUUGCCCCUUCCAGAAUCUCUCGGCCUAUUUCACCUAAUGUCUUGCUUCUGCUUCUCGAUUUCUUUUACAGGUGGUCGAGGGAGACUGAAGCAGAGUGUGCCCCAGCUAGUUGCAUUAGGGGACCGAGUCAGAAAGUCAAAGUCGGGCAGAGUCUGUUGUUGUUGUGUCAUUGUUGGGUCCUGUCGGUCUGGUCUCGGAUGGGUUGUCCCAAAUAAAAAAGGAAGGAGGGUUCUUUUGGUCGCCUCUUUCGGUUCACGAGAAGGUGGAGAAGAUUGUUCGUCGGUCGCAGUCGAUCCCCAUCAAAGGUAUUUAAAGUUACCAGUCUUCUACCGCCUGUAUAGCAUGAGCUUUCCCCGUUUCUCCGAGGUUUAUAUGUUAUGAUAGGUUUGUUGUUGUUAUUAUGGUUUGUCACUUUUGUCGAAACGGUCUCAUGUUGUGACCUGGUAUAUCUAUGAUGUAGCUGUCACGAAAAAAAAUUGUCUUAUCAACAAACUUAGUAUGUAUUUUUAAGAAGAAAGGAAUCGAGAAUUUUAUUUUUGUCACAUCUUAUCUCGUUGCGUCUUGUUUCAUCAAUACAUUAUGUUAUUUGUUGUUUUGCUCUCAUUCGAAUUUUAACCAAAUUUAAAUUAUGCGUGUGUUGUAUGAUAUUAUCAUAGUCGCCAUUGUUGUCGAGCUAUUUUCUUUGUCUUAGAAAAUUGAAUUAUUGAACCCGUAAAUUUUGUGCUUUGUUGAGUCUAUGCUGUUGACUUUUAAUUAGUGUAUAUGUCUGAUUGGUUCUAGCGCUGUUCACCUAAUGACAAUGGGACUAAUAGAUUUUUUUUUUUUUUUUUGUUAUAUAGUUGGGUCCUUAUUACGUUUUUUUGGUCCUCAAACAACGAGGUGGGUGAUACUAAGGUUUUCAAAGUUUAAUUUGUUAUAAUUUCUGGCUCUCGAACUUUCUAAAUUGUUGUCAGCAUGUCGCAUAGUUCAAUUUAGUUGACCGGAUGUUGAUAGGUUUUGCCAAUAUGUUGUUAAUGUGGCGAAUUAGUCGUUGUCACGUUAUCAAUCACAAGUUUGUCGCAUCAGUGGCAUGUCACCAUUCAGUCAACUAUAUUGGACUGUGGGAGUGCAUUACAGCUAUUUAACAAGUUUGAGCUAGAAAUUGCAACAAAUUAAAUUUUGAAGAGUAAAAAAGUGUCACACGCCGCAUAAUUUGAGGACUAUAAUGUGUAAUUUAACCUAUUUUCUGGCUAUGUGAUUGGAGCGCAGACACAUUUUAUUACAGGAAAAAGUGUACAGAGACCCUACACCUUUAGCAUUCUUGUAAUAGAUGCCUGGAGUCCGGCUACUAUACUCUUGUGAGUACGGUCGCCUUCGUACUUAUAAGUUGUUUUCGAUGAUAGAGCUUUCGAAUCGACGAUCCAUAUCGUCAAACAUUAUCUAGAGCAUUUAAAACAUCUAGAAAUCAAAUUUUAUAUUUUUUCGAUAUCAUUUACCUUACGAUCAAAAGCUUACAAAACUGACAAAUUUUAACUGCCGGUAUGAGAUAUUUGCUAGUUUAACGGUAAAAAAGAAUCGGAAUAGAUUGGAUUUUUUAUAGAAAAUUCUAUUCACUACCUAAAUAAAGAUCAAUAACUCUGAUCUUAAAUUGCAGGAUCCAAUCAUCCAUUUUUAGGAUGUUGUUCGAUUUUAAUCGUUCAUUUUAUACCUGCUUGAUAGACUUUAUAUUGACUUCGAAAAAUUACAAAAUUUAUUAUUUAGAAGUUUCAAAUACUCUAGAUCAUAUUUAGCGGUGUGGAUCGUCGAUUCGAAAAGCCCAACAUCGAAAACAACGUAUGAGUACGAAGGGCUAUAUAUACUCAUAAGAGUAUAGUAGUCCUACUCUAGAUGCCUGAUACUUUCAGUUUAGGCAUAGUUAUUUAACAGCCUCAUCAGAUAGCUCAGCAGGGCUUCUCUUCGAUCGAAGUUACUAAUUACAUAGUUGUUUUGAUUGUUUGUAUUGCAUAUAAUUUUUAAUACCUGAAUCUAUGAAAAGAAAGUAAUAAAUUUUACACAUAGAUUCAUUAUGUUCUUCAAUUCUCAUGCUUGAUUAUCAGAAUCGAAGGAAAAGAAGUAAAUCCCUCAAGUGUUUUGAAGUCAAUCUGAAGUUACAUGAGAUCAAAAUGUUUGGCCAAUUCGUAAUUUCGUUCGCACAAAGGCAUAUUAAGGUUUCGUUUGGGAUUGCGGAGAGAUUGUGUUACAUGUCAUGUCGCGAUGAGUCGGUUACGAUAUGUUUUUUGCGGUCUCACCUGAGAACGCAGUAACAUAUCCCUAAAUGCUUUUACACCAACUUUAUUUUAUUUUAUAUUGUCGGAUGAGCCUCAAUAUGAAACUAAGCCUAAACUGUUCGGCUAAAGUUUAGAGACUGAAAAGUACAAAAAUUAAUGGCUUGAGAGUUUUGUCUUUAAAAGUGCUUAAGUUUUGGGGGAUUUUAUUAGGGGUGAAAACGGACCGGGUAUUGUCGGAUAUUUGACAAAAUAGUGUCUGCAUCCAUUUUUUUUUUUUCUCCGGAUACGGAUUCGGAUAAAGAUACAUGUUGGAUGCUAAAUUUUAUUAUCAUAUCCGUUAAAAACGGUUUCAGGGUCAGAUAUUUUUUCGGAUUCGGAUAUGGAUUGGAUAUGUAUUCAAAUAAUAAUAAUAUAUAUUAAUAUGCAUAUACACAAGUAGUUAUUUUAUUUUCCUACAUUGUUUUCUAACCAUAUUUCUUUACAUAUAAAAUAUAUAAUAAUAGCUUGAAGGCUGAAGUAGAAGAGUCUUGAGAAAGCACAAGAAAGAUAGACUCCGGAGGAAUGGGAUUUGGGGGGGUGAGGGGUGGGAAUGGGAAAAAUAUAAAGAUUAUAACAAUAAUCUACGAAUAUUCACAUCCAUAUUCUUUAUUUUAGAUAUUGGAAAAAAUAUAACUCUCUAAAAGACUAAAACCAUACCCGUAUCCGUAUUCAACCGGAUAUGAAAAUUUUCUAUCCGGAUCUGAAUAGUUUUGAAUAUUAUUGAAUACGGAUAGGAAUAUUUUCGGAUAAUAUCCUAUUGUUUUCACUCUGACGACAUAAUUGCUUUCACCCUAUAAUUGAAAAAAUAACAACACGAGAGAGAGAGAGAGAGAGAAGACGAGGGAUGUAGAUCGAGAAAGACGAGGAGCAUAAGAGGAGAUACAUACGAGCGUUAGGGUAGUAAAGGGGAACAAUGAUUGAUGGCAUCUCAGCAAAUGACCAGCAAUUGAGAAGGAAAAAUAUAGAACAGGUGGGUUAGAAAUUUUAGAUUAUCUUAAUCGGUUAAUACGAUGAUAUUCACUCUCUCCCAAAGAAAUGAAUAAGCAUUUUGGAGUGAUCUUAUUUCUGAAUAAAUUCGGCAUUUCUGAUUAAAUUACUCGGUACAUAUAGUUUAACACAUUAUAUUAUAUAAUAUAGAAUUAGACUAGAAUACUAUCAAAUACCAAACUACCAAAUUAUUAGUGCUAUUUGAUUUUUUAGUUUUUUGGAUUGAGAAAUGGAUGGUUAGGAUGAUGUGGGCUUUAGGGUUGAGUGAGUGUGUUGGUUGAAUAGUAUAAUUAAUAUAACGGCAUAAAAAUAUCAAAAGGGUUAAUCUAACAGUGAAAACUCAUCAGCCCACCAUAAUUUUUGAUAAGUUUGCUUAAUUCGAUUAGUACACCUAGCGCGAUAUUAUAUAUAUAUAUAUAUAUAUAUAUAUAUAUAUAUAUAUAUAUAUAUAUAUAUAUAUAUAUAUCAAUCAUUUUUAUUGAAUUUUCAGAGAUCUUAAAAAAAUAACACGAAUGAAACGCGCCCUCAAACGUGUGUGUGUGUGUGUGUGUGUGUGUGUGUGUGUGUGUGUGUGAAAUGAUUGAUUUGUGUGUGUGUUGUAUAUAUAUGAAAUGAUUGAUUUGUUUUCUGCUAAUCAUUGCACUUGCAUUGCGAAAUUGUGAGAAAAUCUAGUCUUUGUUUCCAGAGACAUGGAAGUGACGAAAUUUCUUGAUCUAAAUUUGUGUAAUAUUUCUUUGAGUCAGAAAUAUACAUAAUUUGUAUCUCUGGCAACUUCCGAACUUUAGUUUUGUGUUGACGAUUUGAAUAUUUUGAAUAGAAAAUAUCGAGGGUUUUGAAAAUACUACAUACCGUGAAACAAACAACGGAUUAAAGGGUUUAGAGUGUGAAAAAAUUGAGGAUAGUAGUUGAACUAUUCAUUUACACAUAAAAGGAUAGUAGUUGAACUAUGGAGAGAUAUAGUUUGCUGGAUUUUUUUGCCGAACAAAUUUCAUAGACAUAGAAAAUGUGUAAUCUCUAGCAUUUAUAGACAACUUCUACAUAUUACUUUACAAAUACGCAUAUAUGGCCAUAGAUAAUGUAAAAGAAAUCUUUAGAGUCUUGAAGAAUAAUCUGAGAAACUACUCCAUAUAAUGAUCCUACUACUCUCUAGACAAAAAAAAAGAAAAAAAGAAAAAGAAAACAUCUUCUAGAUUAAAAAAGAUGAUUCUUUUUCUCUGUGGGUGGCAAUCUUUUUCCAGCCAUUUGACAUGGAAGUCCAUGCAUGCAGCUGAGUUUAUUGCUAUUCACUCUUGUCUCUACUUUAAAAAAAGAAAAAAAAAAAACAUAUUCCUUUUACUUUUGGAUGUCACAAAAUUAAAGAAAUUAUGUAGGACAAGUUUUACACAUGCGUGGUAUCUGUUACGUAUAAUAUAAUAUGUGACCUAAUUGGGAAGUUCAAAAUUUGUACACCAUAUGGUGACUUUAAAAGAAUAUAUUUUGUAUAUAUGGAAGUUAAUGAAAGAUAUAUUAUAUGUGGAAUGUGUCUUGCUUAAUGUCAUGUGGUUUAACCGAUAGAAUCUGUCGUUCAAAAUUUGUGCAACACCAUAUAGUGACUUUAAGGAGUACAUUAUGUAUAAGAACUAGCGGAAGGUAGAUUCUGUGUGGAAUAUAUAUUCGCAUAUACCUUGUAUAAGAAUCUUCAUUUUAAAAUUUAUGCAGCACUAUAUGGUAGCUUUUAAAGGACAUAUUCAGUAUAAGAACUAGUGAAAGAUAUAUCAUAUGUGGAAAUAUUUUGCGUAAUACCGUUUGGCCAAUACAAUAGCUUUUGGAUCACUAGUGUAGUUCAAAAUUCAUACAGCACUACAUAACAACUUAAAAAGAAAUGCAUAUUACAUGUUUUAUGUAAUAUUCAUAGUUUAUUUUUUUUUUUGUGUAGAUAGAGUUAGCAAAGAAUAGGUCCACGAACACCAAAUUCACGGUCCGAAUAUAACCACAAAGGAUGAAAAUUGGGCACUAAGAAUUCAAAACUAUCAAAGCUUUUAGGUUCAAAAAAUAGUAUUAAUAUCAAACAAAGAAAGGGAUGAUCACAUAAAUGCAGGCAUUGACUUCUUAGAAACAGCGGAAAGUGAAAGCAAGUUGUCUAGGGAUGUCACCAACCGUCCCUAGAGCAAGUGACAAAGGGUUUACUAGUUGGUACCCAAGGUUUUAAGUUCGAAUCCUAGUUGAUUCACAUUUCCAGCUAAGUUUAUUUCUAAAUGAAAUAAAUGAAGCGGGUAGUAUGCUAUCUAUCUCUCUAAAAAAAAAAAGUUGUCUAGGGAUGUGAUCAAUGGGUAUGGAUAUUCAAAAUAUUAUCCGAAUCCGAACCCGAACGGGGCGGUUUUAUCAGAGCUAAACGAAUAUGAAUUCGGUUAUGGAUAUAGAAAAUAAAAAUUCGACGGAUAUGGAUACGGGUAUAGAUUUUGUAUUUACUUGACCCGAACCCGAAUCCGAAUAAAUUAUAUAUAUACAUAAUCUAUUUUUAUUUAUUUAUAUAAUAUAUAUAAUAUUUAAUAAUUUUUAUCCAUUAGAUCUUCAUCCAAUAGUAUGGAUUUUUAAAAUCUGCCGGGUUGGGGUCCGGGUCCGGGUUCGGGUUUUGAGUUUUUGGUCGGGGACGGAUAUGGUUAUGGAUUUUUAAAACCUAUUGGGUUCGGGUCCGGAUUUGAAUUUUAAUUUUAUUUUUGGAUUUGAAUUUGGGUUUUUGAAAACCCGACCGAAACCCGACCCGUUGACAUCCCUAGAGUAGUCUCUUGAGUUUGGUCCAAAACAAAGUUACUUAAUUUGACUUGAACCUUCUUCUAAAGCUUCAAAAAAGAGCUUUUAGUCUUUUGAGCAAGAAAUGUAGUUUUUAUAAUAGGAAUGUGGUGGGGGGGACAACUUGUUGUGCAUCUCUAGAUUCUCUCCUGAUGUUUUCUCCAUUAUUCCUUAAUUGGUUUGGUAUCUUUUUUUUUUUUUUUUUUUUUUUUUUUUUUUUUUUUUGUAUGUGUGUGUUAGGAGUGUGUAUGGUAUAAGGAAUUAAAGUGUACUUAAAAAGAAGAGACAAAUAAGAGUGGGAAACCAAGCUCUACCUUCUUAAGCCUCUCUUGUCCCUUUGUAGUUUAUAAAAAUAAACACUCUCUACUUGGGGUUUUGUCCCCUCCUUUGCAUUCAUUAUUCAUGCUUUAUAUAUAUACCCUUCUCCCCUACUUUCAUGUGUUUGGCUUUUCUCUUGUUUUUCCAUACUCUAUUUCUUAAAUAUUUUGAGUGUUACUGGUAUCAAUAGAUUAAGUGGAGUUGUUAUCAUGUAUACGGACACACCCAGCUUUUUACGUAAACUAAAAUUUGAAUUUGAGUUUUACUGAAGUUUUGACCUGCAGGUUCUCAAACUCAGAAUUUCAUUUUCUGAUAUCAUACACAAUUAUAUGAAAUAAUCGGAGGACGAUGUUCUAAUAAUUUAUAUUCAACUGGUUGAUUAUAUGGUAAGUGUGACUCUUAUAGAAUUUCUAAUAAGAAAAUAUGUUUAUUUAUUGGUGGUAUUUAUUUGGAAUCUUUUUAUAGUAUUUACAUAACCGAUAUAUGGUCAAAAUAGCUGGCCACGAUAAAAAAAAAGCAAAAUAACCAUAAUAUUAAAAAAUGAUAAAUUUUGAAUGAUUUUGAGAUAUAUUUGAAAGUUUUAAAUUUACAUAAAUAUAUAAAAUAUUUAAAAGGUAAUUAGAAGGGUCAAUAUACAACAUCCUUUUACCAGGAUAUAUAUGCAAUUAUUUCAAAUAAAAAAAAGCACCUUGUGGCGGGAAGAUGAUUAGUAUUGUUCAUCAGUCCAACAAAGGGCUGGCAAUCCAGCUCAUUGUUCACGAGCUAGCUCGUGUUCGACUUAAAAUGAGCUCGAGACCGAUUGUUUAUUUUAGUAAAUGAGUCGAACAAUUUUUCAGCUCGAAAUCUUAACCAGCUGAACAAAAGUUAGGGUGAGCUCGUUUGUGUCGAGCCGGAAACAAGUUGAGGUGAACUUGUUUGUGUUCGGAUUGAUACAACUCGAAUAUAUAUACUAUCGAUAGCACCAAGCGUUUGGUGCUACUGAGUUUUUCGCCGUUAGAUUUAACCCUUUGACUAUUUUCACCCGUUAGAUUAUACUAUUCAACCAACAACUCACUCAACCCUAGAGGGCUCUCAUCAUCCUAAUUGUACAUUUCUUCAUCCAAAGGUCGAAAACCUAAUAGCACCAACAACUUGAUGCUAUUAAUAGCAUUUCAACCUAGUUCUCUCUCUCUCUCUCUCUCUCUCUCUCUCUCUCUCUCUCUCUCUCUCUAUAUAUAUAUAUAUAUAUAUAUAUAUAUAUAGAGUUGAGCUAGAAUACUCUCAAAAGCACAAGGGAGGUGGUGUUUUUGAGUUUUUUAACCAUUGGAUGAGACUGUGGGGUUGAGAUGAUGGUGGUAGGUGGUGUAAGGUGGAAUAGUGUUUGAUCAAGGGUAUUCGUAAUCAAAUGUAGAUCCAAGGGCUAAAACCUAAUAGACAAAGGGGUGAUUCUUCUAAAAGUAUUCUAUCUCAAUUAUAUAUAUAUAUAUAUAUAUAAUAUAUAUAUAUAUAUAUAUAUAUAUCUUAUAUAUAAUAAUAUAUAUAUAUAUAUAUAUAGUUGAGCUAGAAUACUUUUAGCUUUUAAGUUUUUAGCCAUUGGAUGGAGAGAUGUGAGGUUGAGAUGAUGAUGGUAGUUGGUGGUAGGUGGGAUAGUGUUUGAUCCAAAGGCUAUCAGUAAUCAAGGAGUAGAUCCAAGGACUAGAAACUUAGAAGCACCAAGGGAUUGGUAUUUCUAAUAGUGCGUUUGGUUCGAGUUAUGUAAUAUUACAGAGUAUUUUGACAUAUCCAGAUAACUUGAAUUUCGGCGUUAGAUUACUACUGAUACUGCAUUAGCGCGUUUGGUUUAAUACAGUAAUAUAAUACUGGAUUGCAGUGUUUAUAGCAUUACUACAUUUGUUUCAACAUAUAAAAUUUAGUAAUUCUGACAUAAAAAUAUAAUUUUUUCUAAAAUUGUCCUUGUUGUGGUCAUUUGAAUAUUAUUUUUUACUAAAAUAUAAUUUGCACUAGUAAAUUAAUUAUAUUAAGAAGUAAAAAAAUAAAAAGCCCAAACAUGAAAAAAAAAAUUAACGUUGCAAAAAGUUAAUUUCAACCCAUAAAAGAAAAUAAUAGGUGUUCGUGCGAGAGAGAGAAAAAGAUAGAGAGAGAACGAGAGAGAGUGGAGUGCGAGAGAGAGAGCGAGAGAGAGCGGCGUGCGAGAGAGAGGGGGGAGGGCGUGGGAGAGAUGAAAACAAUACUGUUAAUUGGGGUUGGGGUGUCGGAGGAUAAAAUUGUUAUUUUACAUAAUAUGUAGUAUUACCGGUUUUCAGUAAUGCAAAAUACACGACCCCCUCUCGUUAAUAUUUUUGGUGUAAUCCUGCUCGAUUUGUAAUGUUACAUUAACGACUAGAUUAUAUAGCGGAUGAACCAAACACGAAAAUCCUGAUAGGAUUAUCUGUAAUUCUGCCAUGAUAACUCGAACCAAACGCACCCUAAAAGUAUUUUAGCUCAAUUUUAUAUAUAUAUAUAUAUAUAUAUAUAUAUAUAUAUAUAUAUAUAUAGAAGGCCCUGGGGUGCUUUCGGAAGCACGGAGCGCUCCGUGCUUCCACUUUGUUUUCGAUGUUGGGACUUUCAAAUCGACGAUCGGCUUCGUUAGACUUGAUCUAGAGUAUUUGAAGUAUCUAGAAAAUAAAUUUUGCGAUUUUUCGAUAUCAUUUGCCUAGUGAUCGAAGUGGCCAAAAUCAACGGCUGAAAUAAAAAUCUCACAAAAUAUGAUGAUAUGACAUUAAAAUUUUAGAUCAAAGUUAUUGAUCUUGUUUAUAUGGUAUAAAAGAAUUUUCUAUCAAAAUUUCACGUGAUUUGGAUAUUUCUACACCGUUAAACUUGCAACCGGCUCACCACGGCCGUUAAAAUUAUUGAUUUUGAGCCCUUCGAUCACUAGCAAAUGAUAUCGAAAAAUCGCAAAUUUAAUUUCUUGGUACUUUAAAUACUCUAGAUCAACUCUAACGGAGCCGAUCGUCGAUUCGAAAGUCCGAACAUCGAAAACAAAGUGGAAGCACGGAGCCCUCCGUGCUUACGAAAGCAUACCAGCCCACUCUAUAUAUAAUAUAUAUAUAUAUAUUGAAUUAGACUACUAUGCUAUUAAUAGCACCAAGUCAUUGGUGUUACUAAGUUUUUGGUAAUUAGAUUAAGAGAUGUGUGGUUAGGAUGAUUGGGCCCUCUAGGGCUGAGUGGGUGUUGGUUGAAUAGCAUGAUCUAACGGGUGAAAAUGAUCAAAAUGGUAGAUCUAACGACGAAAAACUUGGUAGCACAAGUGUUUUAUGUUAUUAAUAGCAUAGUAGCCGGACUAUAUAUAUAUAAUAUAUAUAUAUAUAUAUAUAUAUAUAUUAUAUAUAUAUAUAUAAUAGAGUGGCUGGUAUACUUAUGGAAGCACGGAGCCUCCGUGCUUCAAGUUGUUUUCGAUGUUCGAACUUUCGAAUCGACGAUCGGCUCCGUUAGAGUUGAUCUAGAGUAUUUGAAGUACCUAAAAAAUAAAUUUUGCAUUUUUCGAUAUCAUUUGCUAAGUGAUCGAAGGGGCUCAAAAUCAAUAAUUUUUAACGGCCGUGGUGAGCCGUUGCAAGUUUAACGUGUAGAAAUAUCCAAAUCACAUGAAUAUUUGAUAGAAAAUUUUUAUACCAUAUAAAACAAGAUCAAUAACUUUGAUCUAAAAUUUUAAUGUCAUAAUCAUCAUAUUUUGUAAGAUUUUUAUUUUUCAGCGUUGAUUUUGAGCCACUUCGAUCAUUAGGCAAAUGAUAUUGAAAAAUCGCAAAAUUUAUUUUCUAGAUACUUCAAAUACUCUAGAUCAAGUCUAACGGAGCCGAUUGUCGAUCUAUAAUAUAUAUAUAAUUAGAUAGUGCGGCUAGGAUGCUUAUGGAAGCACGGAGGGCUCCGUGCUUCCACUUUGUUUUCAUGUUCGGACAUUCGAAUCGACUAUCGCUCGUUAGACUUGAUCUAGAGUAUUUGAAGUAUCUAGAAAGCAAAUUUGCGAUUUUUCGAUAUCAUUUGCCUAGUGAUCGAAGUUGCUCAAAAUCAACGGCUGAAAAUAAAAAUCUUACAAAAUAUGAUGAUAUGACAUUAAAAUUUUAGAUCAAAGUUAUUGAUCUGUUUUAUAUGGUAUAAAGAAUUUUCUAUCAAAAUUUCAUGUGAUUUGGAUAUUUCUACACGUUAAACUUGCAACCGGCUCACCACGGCCGUUAAAAUUAUUGAUUUGAGCCUCUUCGAUCACUAGGCAAAUGAUAUCGAAAAAUCGCAAAAUUUAUUUUUAGGUACUUCAAAUACUCUAGAUCAACUCUAACGGAGCCGAUCGAUGAUUCGAAAGUCCGAACAUCGAAAACGACUUGGAAGCAUGGAGGCCUCCGUGCUUCCAUAAGCAUACCGGCACCUCUCUCUCUCUCUCUCUCUCUCUCUCUCUCUCUCUCUCUAUAUAUAUAUAUAUAUAUAUAUAUAUAUAUAGAGUUAAGCUAGUAUACUAUCGGUAGCACGAAGGCCUCUGUGCUAUCAAGUUGUUUUCAAUGAUGCGGCUUCCAAGUCGACGAUCGGCUCCGUUAGACUUGAUCUACACUAUUAAAAGUAUUUGAAAACUAAAUUUCAUAAUUUUUCGGCAUCAUUUAUCUAUCAAACGAGUAGUCUAAAAAUGAACGGCUAAAAAUAAAAAUCUCAGAAAAAAUGAUGAUAAAAAACUUUAAUUUAAGAUCAGAGGUAAUGAUCUUACUCUAAAUAUUGAAAAGAAUUUUCUAUAAAAAUUGCAUCAGAUUUGGAUUGUUUUAUACCGUAAAAUUUACAAACGCAUCACUUCUAUCAUUAAAAUUAUCAAUUUUGAGACAUUUUGAUCACUAGCCAAAUGAUGUCGAAAAAUUAUGAAAUUUAGUUUUCAAAUAUUUUCAAUAGUUUAGAUCAAGUCUAACGGAACCGAUCAUCGAUUUGGAAGCCGCAUCAUUAAAAACUUAGUAGCACGGAGGCCUUCGUGCUAACGUAGUAUACCAGCCUAUAUAUAUAUAGGCUGGGGCUACUAUACUCAUAUGAGUAUAGAGCCCUUUGUACUCAUAAGUCUUCGACCGUUCAGAUGAAAAAUAUGCGGUUAGGAUGAAAGUGGUUACGGUUAGGUUGAUAGUGGGCCCCCUAGGGUUGAGUGGGUGGUUGGUUGAAUAGUAUAAUCUAACGGGUGAAAAUGAUUAAAAGGUAUAUCUAACGGCUAAAAACUUAUGAGUACAAUAGGCUCUAUACUUAUAAAAGUAUAGUAGCCGGACUCUAUAUAUAUAUAUAUAUAUAUAUAUAUAUAUAGAGUUAAGCUAGUAUACUAUCGGUAGCACGAAGGCCUCUGUGCUAUCAAGUUGUUUUCAAUGAUGCGGCUUCCAAGUCGACGAUCGGCUCCGUUAGACUUGAUCUACACUAUUAAAAGUAUUUGAAAACUAAAUUUCAUAAUUUUUCGGCAUCAUUUAUCUAUCAAACGAGUAGUCUAAAAAUGAACGGCUAAAAAUAAAAAUCUCAGAAAAAAUGAUGAUAAAAAACUUUAAUUUAAGAUCAGAGGUAAUGAUCUUACUCUAAAUAUUGAAAAGAAUUUUCUAUAAAAAUUGCAUCAGAUUUGGAUUGUUUUAUACCGUAAAAUUUACAAACGCAUCACUUCUAUCAUUAAAAUUAUCAAUUUUGAGACAUUUUGAUCACUAGCCAAAUGAUGUCGAAAAAUUAUGAAAUUUAGUUUUCAAAUAUUUUCAAUAGUUUAGAUCAAGUCUAACGGAACCGAUCAUCGAUUUGGAAGCCGCAUCAUUAAAAACUUAGUAGCACGGAGGCCUUCGUGCUAACGUAGUAUACCAGCCUAUAUAUAUAUAGGCUGGGGCUACUAUACUCAUAUGAGUAUAGAGCCCUUUGUACUCAUAAGUCUUCGACCGUUCAGAUGAAAAAUAUGCGGUUAGGAUGAAAGUGGUUACGGUUAGGUUGAUAGUGGGCCCCCUAGGGUUGAGUGGGUGGUUGGUUGAAUAGUAUAAUCUAACGGGUGAAAAUGAUUAAAAGGUAUAUCUAACGGCUAAAAACUUAUGAGUACAAUAGGCUCUAUACUUAUAAAAGUAUAGUAGCCGGACUCUAUAUAUAUAUAUAUAUAUAUAUAUAUAUAUANNNNNNNNNNNNNNNNNNNNNNNNNNNNNNNNNNNNNNNNNNNNNNNNNNNNNNNNNNNNNNNNNNNNNNNNNNNNNNNNNNNNNNNNNNNNNNNNNNNNNNNNNNNNNNNNNNNNNNNNNNNNNNNNNNNNNNNNNNNNNNNNNNNNNNNNNNNNNNNNNNNNNNNNNNNNNNNNNNNNNNNNNNNNNNNNNNNNNNNNNNNNNNNNNNNNNNNNNNNNNNNNNNNNNNNNNNNNNNNNNNNNNNNNNNNNNNNNNNNNNNNNNNNNNNNNNNNNNNNNNNNNNNNNNNNNNNNNNNNNNNNNNNNNNNNNNNNNNNNNNNNNNNNNNNNNNNNNNNNNNNNNNNNNNNNNNNNNNNNNNNNNNNNNNNNNNNNNNNNNNNNNNNNNNNNNNNNNNNNNNNNNNNNNNNNNNNNNNNNNNNNNNNNNNNNNNNNNNNNNNNNNNNNNNNNNNNNNNNNNNNNNNNNNNNNNNNNNNNNNNNNNNNNNNNNNNNNNNNNNNNNNNNNNNNNNNNNNNNNNNNNNNNNNNNNNNNNNNNNNNNNNNNNNNNNNNNNNNNNNNNNNNNNNNNNNNNNNNNNNNNNNNNNNNNNNNNNNNNNNNNNNNNNNNNNNNNNNNNNNNNNNNNNNNNNNNNNNNNNNNNNNNNNNNNNNNNNNNNNNNNNNNNNNNNNNNNNNNNNNNNNNNNNNNNNNNNNNNNNNNNNNNNNNNNNNNNNNNNNNNNNNNNNNNNNNNNNNNNNNNNNNNNNNNNNNNNNNNNNNNNNNNNNNNNNNNNNNNNNNNNNNNNNNNNNNNNNNNNNNNNNNNNNNNNNNNNNNNNNNNNNNNNNNNNNNNNNNNNNNNNNNNNNNNNNNNNNNNNNNNNNNNNNNNNNNNNNNNNNNNNNNNNNNNNNNNNNNNNNNNNNNNNNNNNNNNNNNNNNNNNNNNNNNNNNNNNNNNNNNNNNNNNNNNNNNNNNNNNNNNNNNNNNAAUAUAUAUAUAUAUAUAUAUAUAUAUAUAUAUAUAUAUAUAUAUAUAUAUAGAAUUGAGCUCCUAUGCUUUUAAAAGUAACAAGUCAUUGGUGCUUGUAAGUUUUCGGCUCUUGGAUUAAAGGAUGUGCGGCUAGGAUGAUGUGGGCCCCUUAGGGUUGAGUGGGUGGUUGGUUGAAUAGUAUAAUCUAACGGGUAAAAAUGAUCAAAGGCAGAGAUCUAACGGUAAAAAAUUUACAAGCACCAAGUGCUUGGUACUUUUACAAGCACCGUAGCCGGACUCUCUCUCUCUCUCUCUCUCUCUCUCUCUCUAUAUAUAUAUAUAUAUAUAUAUAUAUAUAUAUAGUUGAGCUAGAAUACUAUCGGUAGCAAACGAACUCCGUUGUUACCCAAUUGUUUUCGAUGACGGAGUCUCCAAACUGACGAUCGGUACCGUUGAACAUGAUCUAUACCACUCGAAGUGUUUAGAAAUCAAAUUUCAAAUCUUUUCGACAUCAUUUGCCUAAUGAUCAAAGCGUUUUAAAAUUUGUAAUUUUAAUGGUCGAUAUGAAGCGUUUUCUCGUUUUACAGCGUAAAGAUAUCCAAAUCAAUUGAAUUUUUGUUAGAAAUUUUUUUAAAUUAUUUAAAACAAGAUCUAUACUUGUUCUUAAUUACAAGACUCCUAUCAUCAUUUUUUAAAGAAUAUUUAUUUUCAGCCGUUCAUUUUUGUGUCCACUUGAUGGAUAAGAGAACAAUAUCGAAAAUGUAUGAAAUUUGAUUUCUAAAUACUUCAAGUGGUAUAGAUCCUGUUCAAUGGUGCCCAUUGUUAAUUUGGAGACUCCAUCAUCGAAAUCAAAUGGGUGGCAACGGAGCCCGUUUGCUAUCGAUAGUAUUCUAGCUCAACUCUCUCUCUCUCUCUCUCUCUCUCUCUCUUCUAUAUUAUAUUAUAAUAUAUUAUAUAAUAUAUAUAUAUAUAUACUCAAUUUUUAUAUUCUGAAUAAUAAGCCAACCCAAAUGUAUAGAAACCAUAUUUUGCAAAUUUUAGUUAUGAGAUUAAAAUUCAAAUUUUCUAAUUUUCUCUCAACUUUUCACUCAAGUCUAACAUGAGUUAAAUAAACGAACAUGAGUCGACCUCAGCCGGCUCGUGUCCGGCAAGUUGACGUCUUAGUCCAACAACUCGAAUCUUAAAGAACCAAAAUGUUCGUAAUCUUAUCUCUCUGAUGAGAUUGUCUUACUUGCAUUUUACUGGUCGUACACAUAAAAAAUCUCGAGUUUGAUAGGAUGAAUGAGUUAAAAAGUUAGAGCAAAAUAGUUAUUGCAAAACUCUAUGGAGCUCAAUUUUGUAAGUUAUUUAUUAUAUAUAAUUUAGAAAAUAAAUUAUCUUUUUUUUUUUUUUUUUUUUUUUUUUUUUUUCCUUUCACAGUAAUGUAUAUGGAAACACAAUUUAUGUGAAGCGCAUAAAUUAAUAUCUCUGUUUUUUUUAGGGAGGGGUUAUUAAAAUAGAGCAUAAAGCGUUACAACCAUUGAACCGGUCCGGUUCAAUCAAACCGGAGCGGGCCCCACUCUUGUGACUACCAAGUAACAGUAACCCAGGAGCGUCCCGUACAACCCGCGCAAUCGAACCGUAUGAUCCCGAUCCAACGAUCCCCGAUAUCGCACCUGUAAUAUGACGUAAAUACCCCCGCGCACGCCGCCGCCACACUGAACGGGAGAGGGUGGCAAAUUAGUAACCAAGUAUAAGGGCAUUUUCGUCAUUUCAUAGGUCUCUGUUUUAGGGUUUCUUGGGGCGUCGAAAGCCGUUACGCCCCGCUUUUCCCCGCACCCCCUAUCACGUGCGGAUCACGUGCUCGGGCCUAGACCGAACAGCGUACACCGAAUCCACCCAAUCAUAAACAGGUGGAAAUUUGCAUCAUGACCCACUAGACAAUUGAGAAUUUGAAAUAGCCCAGUCCUAAUUUUUUUUGGGGUAAAUAUGUAUGAGCUCUUUAAAAUUUUUUAAUUUUUAAUUAGAGUAAUUAAUGCAUCCAAAUUAAUACAUUCAUACAUUUUAUCUAUUUAUUGAUUGAAAUUUGUUUAAUUUAUUUGUUAUAAAAGUUUAAAUUAUUAUUUUAAAUUUGAAUCAAAAGAUUUGGUUGAACGACUCCUUAUUAGCGAUCAACAAUUUCACCGCUGAAAAAGUGUUAAAAAUAGUUAAUCCAAUAUGAAUAACACCAGUUUUAUGCAACUGCAUUUAAAUUAAUUAACGAACUAAAAAAUAAGAACGAUUUAAAAAAUAAUAUUCAAAAAAUAAUAAUUCAAAAGAUUCGUUUCAAAACCAUCUACAAUUGAGAUUGCGGUUGUAUAUGUUUAUCAUCAUCAAUUCUAUGAAGCAUGGCCACUUUGUUCCUCAAACUUUAAUUUGUUAUAAUUUUCAGUUUAAGUUUUUUAAAUUGUUGUAAUUAAAUUUAUAAUUUAAUUUAGCUGGUUAAAUAUUCAUGUCUUGUUACUACGAAAAUGAUGUAGCGCUAUAGUAAUUGAUAAAACGAUACUGAUUAUAACGUCCUAUUAUUUUUAUAUUAGCGAACAAUUAAUGUUCAAUCAAAUAAAAUGUGUUGCGGGACUUAAAUUUUAAUACUUUAAAAGUGAGUUAGAAAUUAUAAUAAAUUAAGGGUAAAUUUUGCUUAUUUACCAUUUAUUGCUAUUUAAAAUAUUUAAAUUUAUCCUGAAAUUAUCAAAAUAUUCUUUUAAAAUCCAAUUCUAUUAAUAAACUCUAGGUAAGAUGAGGAUAUUGGACGGAAUUAGUUUAAAUUAAUAAGGGUAUUUUGAUAAUUUGAAGUUUGAAGGGCAUGUUAGCUAUUAUCCCGUGAAAUUAUCCAUAAAUUUUAAUAAUUUAAAAAGUGAGUUAGAAAUUGUAAUAAAUUUAAAGUACAAAUUUUGCUUUUUUAUCAUUUAUUACUAUUCAAAAUUUUCAAAUUUAACCAAAACUCACCAAAUUAAUAUUCAAAAAUCCAAUCCUACUAAUAAACAUUAGGAAAAACAGGGAUAUUUGAAUGAAUUAUUUAAAAUCAAUAAUGGUAUUUUUAUCCUCCACGAAUAAAUAAAAUAUUUUAAAGUUCUAUUGGGCUCUAUAGGGCAUAUUAGAAUAUUAGGUUAUUUCAUAAAAUUAAAAUUUGAGAACUGAAAUGCCACACGUUUAUAGUUUGAGGACCCAAAGUAUAAUUUACUCCGAAAACAACCAAUAGAAAACACCAAAAAUGGCUUAGCUUACGCUGUUCGCUGUUUCCUCGGACACAGCGGAUGUUCGAAGCUUCUACACCAUUCGUUUGUCGGUUUAAGCAGUAUAUUGUUAUUUAGUCCUUGAACUAUGAGCUUGUAAAACUUUAGCCCCCCAAACUUUAAUUUCUUCUAAUUUAUGGCUCAAAUUUUUAAAAUUAUUGCACAAAUCUUACAGUGCAAUUUAAUUAACUAAAUAUUAAUAAUAUAUAAUAAGAUACCUCUUCAAUUUUACAUCAAUGAUGUGGCCGUAUUUAGUUAAAUAAAUUAUAUUAUAAGAUUUAGUUAUAAUAAUAAUUUAAAAAAUUUGAACUAUAAAAUCCACAAAUUAAAUUGUUAUAAUUUGAGGGUCCGAGUUGCAAUUUACCCUGAAGUAAACACUGAGCACACAAUACGAUAGCUUGCGCCCCAAGCCGAUUCCGCAAUGACGUCAUAAAUAAUAAAAUUUCCAAAAUAUUACUUUACUAAUUUAGGUAAAAUGUUUGGAUUUGGUCCUUGUGUUAUUUUAGUAUCGCAAAUUCGUCCCUACACUUUUAGUUUAUACAGGCAUUUUAAUUUUUAUUUAGGCUAAAUUACAGAAACCCCCCUAUAGUUACUCUCUUUUUUACUUUUUCUAUUUAAUUUUUAAAAGCCCAUAUUUUGCUCCCUUAAAAUUUUAAAAAUAUUUUCAGAAAGAAUACAACAUUAAUGGAGAGAGUAAAAUGACUAAACUGUCAUUACUUUUUCGAUAAAAAAAUAAUUUUUUAAUAUAUUUCUGUCAUUUUGAAAAUUUUUUUGAUAUAAAUUACAACAAAAUAGACGGAAUAAUAUUAGAGCCCUAAUGGACGGGAGCUAAAUGCAACAACUUAAAAUAUUGAGAGAGUAAAAUAUAAAUUUUAAAAAAUUAGGAAGGAAAAAUAAAAAAUAAAUAUUUUAAAAAAAUUUCUAUAAUUUAGCAUUUUAUUUAUUAUUUUUAAAAAGUAGACUUUCAAUAUAAAAUGAUUUUGAAUAUGUAUGAAUCUAAGUAUUACAGUGCUGAUACUGCUCGUGUCAAUAAGCUCGAACCGAUAUAUAACAUAGUGUAAAUGUCAGUAUAUGCUGACACCGUAUCGAUAUAUUUUGUGAUAGCUAGAUCAUAAUUCUUAUUUAAAGCAAACUAAAUAACUAAAUUAUUUCCAGUACAAAAAUAAAAUCACAAAAUUUAUAAAAAAAAUAUCGGUUUUUUCUUUUAAAAUUUUCGAUUAAUGCACUAGAGUAUUCACUUAAGAGCAUUAAGGACUAAACCACAAUAUCCCAAAUAUCCAGGGACUGCUGCACAUUUUAACCCCGUUAUUUUACUUAUUUAUAAUCAAUUAUUAUUAAUUUCACCAAUUAAUCGCUCCAAAAAUAGAAAUAAAAAAGGACCGAAUAAAAAAAUAAAAAGAAUCUUUUCUCUCUCCGUAUAAAGACACUCACCAACGAGCUCUCUUCGUAGUAUCCUCUGAUCGAAGAGAGAGAGAGAGAGAGAGAGAUCCUCUGUUACUUCACGUUCGCGUUUAGAGAGAGAAAGAGAGAGAGAGAGGAAGAGGUUUCGAUCGAUCGAUCGAUCGCUUCAGCUUCUAUCUCGUCAUCGGAUCGCGCAACAUCUCGACGAUCGGGAUCGUUUUCGAUUGGGUUGGUCGAUCGGCGAGCUGAGAUGGAUUCGUUAGACGAAAAGGUGAGCUCGAUCGAUCGCGAGAUCUCUCUAUUUUUUUGCCUUUUUUUUUUUUGUUUUCUGGGUGAUUUCUGAUGGAUUGGGGGGUUUUUAGGGCGCGGGAUCGGUGGAUCGGGGGAGCGGCGGAGAGGAGCGGAGGUGCUGCGCAGAUUGCCGUACGACGAAGACCCCGCUGUGGAGAGGUGGCCCCUCGGGUCCCAAGGUGCGUAUCCCGAUCGAAUUUCUCGCCGAUUUUAUCUUCUUUUGUUUUUGCCCCCCAUUUUUGCUCGAUCCGAUGUUGAUGAGGAUGAUGGGGGGGGAGGAGGAGAGAGCCGCUGUGCUGCUCAUGGCCUUGUCCUCCGGGUUCCUCUAUGCUUAAAUAUUCGUGCCGAUGAACGAUGAUGAUGAUGAUGAUGAUGAUGAUGAUGGAUGGAUGGAUGGAUGGAUGGAUGGGGGUGACGACGAUCGCCAACACGAGACCGCCGAAUCCGCCGCCCAUCGUGCUUUGAGAUUCGCGCGAAUGAUUUGUUGGAUUGGGGCGGUGUGGAUUUGAUGGUCUCUCAUCAUCGGGUACUACCAGAAGAGUGACGAUGAUGGAUGGUGCUAGAUUAUUCUUUUUCUCUUUUUUUUAAACUUUUCUUGGGGUUGAGAGAGAGAGAGAGAGAGAGAGAGAGAGAGAGAGAGAGAGAGGGGCAUGCUCCCUUGUGUUACCGUACAGUGUUAGUACCGUACAUGAAGUAGGGAAUUUUGUGUGAUGUUAUUUUGUGUAGUUUAGAAGGAAAAAAAAAAAUAAUUAAGUGUUAAAAUUGUAUUUAGACAAAUUUUGGGAUACUUAACCUUCUAGAUUGAGUCCCAAAAGUUCUAAAUUUAAUUUAUAUGUUAUAUAUAUUUUCUUUCUAUUAUUUUAUUGUUUUUUUUGUUCGAUUACCCGGCAUGACAUAUAUAUAGUUCACAUGCCAUUUAUAAUCCACAUGAGUGGAAGUGAGCAACAGAUGUUAAGACAAAAUUUAGAACAUUUUUUACUGAAAAAUUUUAUUUGUACCCUUGGUACACUCUAGAAGGGUGUAUAUGUUUCCCUCCUAAGGCUGCGUUUGGUUCGGGUAUAAGUAAGAACUGCUAGUUCUAGGGAUAGGUACAAGUUCAGGUAUAAGCAAGAACUAGACGAAUUUUGCGUUUGGAUGAAAAUUGAGUUGUUCCUAGGAAUAAGGUAAAUAGUAUUUGGAUGAUUAGAUUGGAACAAGAGGAAUAAACGUUAUAAUUUGAAAUUAAAAUUAUAUUAUGUAAUUAAUUAACAUAAAAAUAUUACUUAAAAAUAAAUAAAAAAUUAAUUUUUAAUAAUUAAUUAUAAAUAAUAAUUAAUAAUAAUAAUUAAUUAUAAAUAAUAAAUUAAUUAUUAAUAACGAUUAUCUAAUUAAUAAUAAUAUUAUUAUUAAUUAUUAAUAAAUAAUAAAAAUUAUUAAUUAUUCUUAUUAAUUAAUUAUAAAUAAUAAAUUCGGAAUUUGAACAAAGAUAAGAGACCACUUCAAGGGAUGCCAAUGGUGAUGGAUACUCAACAUUUUUCCGAAUUCGGAAUUGAGCGAAUUUAUUUGAUGCUAAACAGAUAUGAUUUUGGAUAUAGAUAUCAAAAAUAAAAAUCCGACGAAUAUAAAUUUGGAUAUGAAUUUUGACCGUAUCCAACUCGACCCCGAAUUUAUUUUAUAUUUUAUAUAUAAUAUACAUAUAAAAAUUUGAUAUUAUAUUUGAAUUUAUAUUUUAAAAAUUUAGAUUUAAUGUAAUAUAUUUUAAAUAUUGAAACCGAUUGUCUCUAGAGCAAGUGGCAAAGGGCUGGCGAUUGGUACUCGAGACUCAAGUUCGAAUCCUAGUUGAUUCACAUUUCCAGCUAAGUUUAUUUCUUAAUGAAUUAAACAAAGCGGGUAGCGUGCUACCCAUCUCUCUAAAAAAAAAUUUUUUUUUUAAUAUUGAAAAGAGAAAUAAUUGUUUCGGGUUCAGAUUUUUGGAUUCGGGUUCGGGUUUCAGAUUUUUGAUCGAGUUCGGAUUUGGAUAUGGAUUUUUAAAAUCUGCCGGGUUCAGAGUCAAGUUCGGAUUUGGGUUUCAGGUUUGAGUUCGGAUAUUUAAAAAUCUGUCUCGAAUCCGACCCGUCGACAUCCCUAUCUUUGAAUGAGGGAGUGUAAGAUACACACUUUUUUUUUUUUUUUUUUUUUUUUUUUUUGUGAAUUUUUUUAUGAAUUAGAUGGAGAGUUUCAUUUUGGUUUCUAAGUUUUAACUCGCUACAUAAUUUAUCCCACGCUGUCUAACUUCGGGUCUCAUCAAGAGAGUAAAAUGAUAAAAAUGAUGCCUUGUCAUUUUUUUUGAACCCUAUUAGUUACAAGUGCUACUCAAACAAUCUUGCUAAUUUGUAUAAUUAUAUUUUUAUAAAAUAUUAAGCGGGUUUAAAUUUUUAAACAUAACAAAUUCUAAAAGCGUGACCGAUCGAUUUAUUAGACUUUCGAAGUUUGAAGCUAAUGUGACAUAAUCUACGAAUUGGAGUGAAAUUUCGAGUGAGUGGUGUAACUUAUGCCUAGCUAUAAUCGGUACGCAGUUUAUCAAGUUGAGGAUUUCUUCAAUUGGUAAUGGAGUGGUAUAACUUAUGCCUAUAAUCGGUACGCAGUUUAUCAGGUUAAAUAUUACUUCAAUUGGUGCGAGUUUGGGUUCAGUUUACAGACCAAUUAAUCUGGGAGGUGUUGCGUUUAAUGUAUAAACUGACUAGAAUUGUAGUACUCAAUUCAGUGAGUUGGGUCAGGCGUGAGAUUUGUUUGCGAGAGAAGAAACUCAUUUUUGUCAUAGUUAUUUCGUAAUCAUCCAAUCAAAUAUCUUCCUAUUAUAUAAAAACACACAAAAAUAAAUUGUAAAGCAGUAUUUUAAUUUGUAAUUGUCGCAUUAUCUUUUAUUUGGAUUCUUCUUCAUCUCGCUUUAAGAGCUGAACUCAACAGUUUCGUCCGACACUUCAUUUGGGCACCCAAUCCUUUCUGUCCCAAUCAUUUCAAGAAGGUACCGCAAUAUUUCCUCAUGUUAGAACAAAAUAUUUCUUAUACACUGUCCUAAAAUAAGGAAAAAACUUCAAAUACCCCCAUUAUUUCACACUUUCUCAUUUUAGUACCUUGUGAUUUAAAGUGUAUCAAUUUAGUAUCAUGUGGUUUCAUUUUUAUCUUUUUAUUAUCGAUUUCACUAAUUUUUUUGUUAAAUCAGUGAUAAAGUUAAAACUAAACGGUGCUAAAGUGAAUAUUCGAUAAAUCUAGAUAAGGUAUCUGAAGCUUUUUGUAUAUAAUUUAACAAAAUAUUAACGGAAAAGCUGACGAAAAGAUAAAAAUAAAAUCACGGGACACUAACUUGAUACAUUUUAAACCAUAGGGUAUUAAAGUGAGAAAGUGCGAAGCUACAUGGGUGGUUUUUGAAGUUUAUCCUAAAAUAAAAUUAACAUUUUACCUCCGUUUAGACCCUUUAUUAUAUUAACGGCACAAUAAAUUUUAUUUACGGUAUUUUUAAUAAGAGUUGAGCUUAUGUAUUUUCAAAAGCACAGAAAUAUCUGUACUUGCAAUUUUUUAGCUGUUUAAUCAUCUUAAGAUUCAUACAAUAUUAAUAAAUGUAACUUAACGGAGCAUAUCGUUAACUGUAGCGCGAAUUCAUAUCGUUAACUGUAGCGCGAAUUUUGAAAUGAUCCGACGAUUAAAAAGUUACAAGCGUAACUACUUUUAUGCUCUGAAACUCAACUCAUUUAAUAAUAUAUAAAUAUAAUAAUUCUUACAGAUAUAUAUAUAUAUAUAUUUUUUUCCAAACAGACUUCUAGAGCUGGAAACUGGAAAGCAGUCUCUGGUACUUUCCGCCGUAGCAGACUGCUCUGCGGCGCGGGUUAGCAAACCGCACACCUGGGCCGCGCGAAUUCCAUGACAGCAGCACUUUUGUUGGACUGUCUCAAAAAAUUGAUGAUGGUCUCGGGCACUUGAUUCUGCCGCACCUGAGCGUCUGACCGAUUCGCAUGCACCGUAGAGUUAUUGAGCUAGAGGAUUGAACAAGAUUAAUUACUUUGUUUCACAUUGUACUAGUUUUUUAUGCUCCUAUUCAUCUGAGACCUAUAUAUAAUUUAAACCUCUCUCUCUCUCUCUCUCUCUCGAGCUUUCUUCAGCCGUCACUUCCACCAGCCGGUUAUGCUAUUUUUCAGCAACCGCCCCCAAAAAAAAACGAAAAAAAAAGGUUGUACUCUGUAUCGGCAACUCUCCGUCCAUUGUUUCACCAACUCCUUACAAAUCCGAGCAGCCUCCAAUGGAUCUGAGAGCAAAUUUCUAAAAAUAACAUUAUUUCUAUGUCGUCGGAGCACCCACCAGAUUGCUGCUAGGAAGCAUUGCCUCUUCACAGCCGCCUGAUCCUUCCCUCUUUCCGUCUCAUCCUUUUCCUAAAGGGCUCUGACAUCUCGUCAAACUGGAAGCACCAUAAGAAAGCGGCUAAACACACAAGUCCUGAGUAGGUGAUUCACUAUUUCUUGCGCACAUGCACACAGAACGUACCAUUGAUACCCCGUCCACCAUCUCUUAUUUAAAUUAGGGAAAACUUCAAAAACCCUCCCUGUGGUUUCGUAGUUUUUCACUUUGCCCCCCCUGUGGUUUAAAAUGUAUCAAAUUGCUCCCCUGUGGUUUCGUUUUUAUCUUUUCGGUAGCUUUUUCGUUAAUAUUUUAUUAAAUUAUAUACAAAAAACUUUAGAUACCCAUCUAGAUUUAUCAAAAUAUUCACUAUAGUACCCUUUAAUUUUAACAUUAUCACUGAUUUAAGAAAAAAAAAUAAUGAAAUUGAUAAGAAAAAGAGAAAAAAGAAACCACAGGGGGGCAAAUUGAUACAUUUUAAACCACAUGGGGGGCAAAGUGAGAAACUACGAAACCACAGGAGGUAUUUUAGAAAUUUUCCCUUUAAAUUAUCUACAAUGAAAAUUCUUUUCUCUAUCACUAGCCAAAUGAAAGUCUUCACUUUCGUCGAUAUGCGUAAUUUUCAUAUCUUAGCUAGUAGAUUAUCUAUUACUCCCCCAUCAUUAAGCAUCUCAUACAAAGACUUAACUGUGAAUUCUUACCUCUUGUUUUAUCGCCAACAUAAAACAUCCCGACUAUUUACAGUAUGAAAGUAAGAGAGCAGAUUUCUAAACUCCUGAAUUGCCCGUCGAAGUCAUUGUCUUUCUUAUUAAAAAAAAAAAAAUGAAAAUCGUGGUGUCUACUUGUUUGUUCGUAACUGAUUUUCAGAUUGAAAAAUACUGAAAUUAGUGUAGUUUCCGGCGCGAUUUCUCAAUCUUGCUGCUGCGACCAGUGGGUGUGCAUUGCUGCUGCGACCGCACCUAAAAUUUAGAAUCUAAUCUAGUUAAUAUGAUUUGCAAUAUUUAAUGAGUUUAUGUGCAAAAAUUAAUUUAUUUAAGAGAGAAAUACUUCAAUACACCAGAUAGUAACCUGCUCAAUAGGUUACUAUUCGUAAGGAUAAUAUGGAAAAAUAAAUAAAAACUAAUUACCAAAUUUAAUCAACCCUACACAAAUAUAUGUUUCCUUGUUUAAUUUUGUUACUUACCAAAUUAGAUAGUACUAAUUUGAUAAGUAAUAAAUCUUUAUAAAAUUGAAUUUAAAAAUAAAUUUGAGCUUAAACUUUAUAAUUGUGUAUAUUAAAUUCAAAUUUAAUUUUAAUUUUAAUUUUCUGAAUGAAAAAAUUUAUGUUUAAAUGAUUAGUAUAUUUCAAAUCAAAUUGUUAAUUUGAUAUUAAAAUGACACGAAAUUUCAAAUUAACAAUUAACUUAUUUGAAAUUGUAAAUUAUGCUGUAUUUAUAAACAUAACUUUUAUUUUUUAUUUAAAUUAAUGGCUUCUAUUUUUAAAAUUAAAUUCAAAUUGUUCAUUCGAUAGCAAAAACAAUAUUAAAGUUCAAAAAUAUUGAUUAAAAUUAAAUUUUAAAUUUAGAUUUAGUUUAUAUUAUAGUUAAAAAAAUAAAAUUUGUUAACUAUUUAAAUUAAAUUAUUCUAUGUUUGAAAAUUAACUUUCAAACAUUCACUUGGGGAUAAUAUUUCAUAUUCAAUUACUAAGAAAUUGUAUAAUAUAAUUUUUCAAUUGCAAUAUUUUAUAUUUACAUAUAAUUUUCGAUGCAAAAAAUUUUAAAUUAGAAACAAAUUUAAGAGUUUAUUUCAUAAUCAAAUCAUAAAAAAUAAAUUCAAAAUUGGCUAAAAUUUUACCUCCUGGUUUAAGUCAGGUUCGAGUUUAAGGGGUAGACUAAAUGAUUUCAAUAAUAUAUCAUUUUUUAUUUAAAAUUUGAAUGCAAUAUAUUAGUAAAGAAAAGUUAAUUUAGGAAAGGUAAUUACACACCUUCCUUGUAACGCCAAACCUUUAUAGCUAAAGAGGACAUGUUAUAAGAUGUAAAUUUAUCAAAAUGCCCUUGUUGCAAAAAAAAAAAAAAAAUUGCCCUAUUAAGAGUUGACCGGUACCGAUGGUAUCAAAUACCGGUCAUCCUCUUUUAAAGGGUGCACCUUGGCCGUCCAUUUAAAAAAUUUUAAUGGUUAAGAUGUUUUUAGUGUAUAGGAGCAUUGCUCUAUUUAAGAUAUCUAUUACCAAUGUUGAUUAAGCAGAUUUUGAAAAACAACAACCAAUAACGAAAAAUUUAUUGUUUGAUUUCUAAGAAAUUAACAUUAAUUUAAAGAGGUUAAAUAUCUAAUUGUUGCAGUUCGAAGGUUAGGGACUCAAUUAAAAGUAAGGUAUAAGCUAGCUAGGUUAAGGACCUAAUUUCUAUAAUUUGUAUUGAUUUAGAAAUCGGGUCGACCUCAUCGAUUCAAUUGGUCCGACCAUGACCCGGUUUAUAAAGCGGUUUGGUUCAAUCUUCUGAACUAGAUAUAUAAAUCAAGAUAGUGCUUAAUUUGAUCCAGCGGUUUAACCAUUAUAUAGACACGUGUGUCGGUCCGGUUUUAAUCAAACCAGUUGGAUUUUUUUUUUUAAUCAAUUCGUAUUUAGAUUCAACGGCUUAAAAUUAAUUUAGCAAAUUUUAUUUUCUAUUAGCAUGGAUUAGUCUUAUAAAAAAUAAAACUAGCUUGAAAACUUAUAUCUAUUUAAUUUGGUCUAUUUAAUGAUGAUUCUAUUAAAUUAAUUAUUUUGAACAUUUACUAGGUGAAAAGAGUUGAUAGCAAAUGAAAUUAUUAAUUUAAUACAAUUAUAAUUUAAUUUUCAAAAGGUACUUAAAAUUAAAUAAAUUUAUUGUUGAGAGGGUAUCAACUAUAAAAAAAAAGAAAAAGAAAAAAGAAAAAGAAAAAGAAAAAGAGCUGAAGAUUCUAUAUAUGAGGAGCAAUAUCCCUGUUUUUUUAAUUAAAAUUUUUUCCCAGAAAUUACUAACUAAUUUAUAUACUUGAAAUUUUUCUGUAAUAUUUUUGGUAAAAUGUACUCCAAUUAAGUAGUAAUUGUUGAAGGUUAUAAUUCUGUAUUGUUUGUUAAUUACAUGAACUUGGAAGAAAUCAAAAUGAGAGUAAAUUUGGUUCAAAUCCAUUUAAAUAUAUAUUUGGAUAAAAGUUAAAAAGUUAGCUUUUUAGUGGUCAAGCUGAUAUUGGUAUGAUACAUUUUUGGGCUGUUUUCUGAUCAUUGAACACUUUUUUUUAAAAAAAAGAUAGGAAAUGUUCCAAAAAAUAUAAAAAAGUAAAUUAAAAUCAUGCAUGAUAUACUUAGGGCAGAUCUAUACCAUGUUAUUCAAAAGACCGACUUUAUAAAAAAAAAAACUACCUAAAAAUAGUUUUAAUGGGAAGGAUUUUAAUCUGCGACCGCGCUGUCAUGUACGUUAUCUAAAAGAUAGAUCUGCAUGAUAGGGAACAGAUUAAAAUUAUAUGUGCUGUUCAAACAUCAAAAAGGUCUAGUAAUGCUAUGUGGUGCAUCCAUAUUAGAUACGGUUAAAUCCAAUCGGUUUGGAUUUGACCAGAUAUUAUUCUAGAUAAGGUUAAGCAGAACAGAGAGCAGAUAAGGUUGAAUUCUUUCUUUCUUCCUCUUGAGUUCAAACCUAUCUAUCUAGCUUUGCAUAUCCCUUCUCAAUUUGUUUUUGAAAAGUGCAUUGUCUUGGUGGUUGGUACUCGAGGUUCUAAGUUCGAAUCCUAGUUGAUUCACAUUUCUAGCUAAGUUUAUUUCUAAAUGAAAUAAACGAAGCGGAUAGCGUGCUACCUAUCUCUCUCAAAAAAAAAAAAUCGUCAUAAUUAUAAGGGAAUUCCUUCUUUCUUCCUCUCUUUUCAUAGCUCAUGGAAGCGGAACUCUGGUAAUCCUCUCCACAUUGGAGCCGUGAAGAGUGGGAGACGAGCCCUUUUGACAUUCAAGAUGUGAUAAACAGAAAAAGGCCGGGCUCGUGGAAAAUCCAGAAACGUCAAACACAAGGGUGAUAUGAGAAGGGUUGUAAAAUAAUAAAUUCGAUUCAAUUUUUAGAUACGUUGGCUAUCCAAUUUGUAAGUGUCCACUGUUUAUAACUUUUUUCUGACGUCAAAAAAAUAUCUUGAGGGACGGUUUGAAUUUUUAGUUUGUGAUUCACUGAUUCACAAAAAAUAGAAGCGUUUGGGAGAAGUUUUAUUAAAGUGAUUCUUCUAAUAACACUACGUAAAUGCGACUUCAUCACAUCCAAAGCAAGGGCCAAAUUGACCCUUGCCACAUAACUUUUAUUCAUACAAAACCAAAGUUGGGUACAUCACUUAAAAAUACUAUAAAAAUUAAGCACACUGGAAAUUACUUAAGAUGUCAUAAAUGACUUACCUCUUUAUUGUACCAAUCACACACAAAGCACUGAGAAUAUCUCUCAGGAGAUACACACAAAGCAAACCACUCAACUUCUUCUGCAUAGAAACCUCAUGCAUGUAUAUUUUUUGGAGACUGAUCAGAAGAGAUACACUUUUAGGCAACAACUCCAGGGUUGGCAAGCAAGUGCUCUUCUGCUUUCUUGAAAAUCUUGAAGCUCCUCUCCAGGAGGAGCUUCUCCUCCUCGGCGUCGAGGGGCUUGUCGCCGAUGGUGUCAUACUCCACCUUCAACUUCACGACGCAGGAGUUCUCUCCCGCGGCCUCGAACUUGUACGCGAACACCUGCGACUUGAACCUCUCACCGAUCUUGCCUCCUUCGAUAGCUUCGAACUUGAACACGUAGUUCGCCUCGUCGAGCACCAGUACACGGCUCUUAAAGAAGGUGACACCUGGCACAGCUGCAUAAAAUUCGACAUACGAAGUUAAAGCAUGAUGUUACUAACAAAGCCGAUUCCCGAUUAUAGAUAGAUUCGUUGAAUCUAGUAAUAACUGACUGACUGACUGAAUCUGACCAGAUUCAAUAAAUCUGAUAAAACCCUAGUAGAGAUAGUAUUGUAUUAUUAUUACUUCUUUAGCUAAGGACCAAAUAUGCAUCUAAAGUAUUGUAGAUCAUCUACACAUGGAAAGAAAUUCCUUGGUUUGUUGGUGGUUUAAUUAAGAAAAAGGGACGUGACAUAAUAUCAAUGAAAAAGAAAUAAUAGUGCAUUAUUAUUACAUUUAAAUUGAAAGCUAAUUUAUUAUAUUUGUUGUAUAUAUGUCAUAAGAAAAGCAAUAGUAAUGGGUCUCACUUCAUUUAGAUAACAUUAGUUCAUUAAUAGAUUAAUAAUAGCAAGUAUAUAGAAUAAUCCAUAAUUAUAUUGAUAAUUUUAUUAUUUUUGAAAAACAUAUUUUAAGCCAUUUACUCACCAAAAAAUAGAAAUUUUAAAUUCAAGAUUGAAGUUGUAGAUAUUAUUCUAAAUAGUUAAAAGUAUUUUCUCUCAAAGAUGCAAGUGAUUUGAAUUAUUUUAUACAGUUAUAUGAGAAAACAACUCAUACAUGCUGUUAAAAUUAUGACUUUUGAGACUGCUUGAUUAUUAAGCGAAUGAUAUCGAAGAAUUAUAAAAUUUAGCUCCUUAGAAGUUCAAAUAACAAUAUUGAUCAUCGAGACGAAUGCACGAACAUCAAAAAAUGACUCUAUUGCGUGUGUUAUAAACGUAUAGUAAUUCAGCCUAGCUCAAAAAUGUCUUAAGCAGAAGAUUUUUCUUUUUUCUCUCUAAUACCAAAUUAAAUAAUUGAUAUUUCAUAGAAUUAGUGUCAUGUCUAAGCUUUAUUCUCAUGUAAUUUCUUCCCCAUUAUAUGAGUUUUUUCUUUUCUUUUUUUUGGCAUUUAGCCCCCUCAAUUUUUUUAAUAAAUUAAUGGUCCCAGUAAACUUAUAUUUGCAUAAAUAAUUCUCUUUCUGCUACGCCACGUUAGAUAGGGAAGAGCCAUGUUAAGUUGAAUAUGCUGAUUUAAUCACCGUAUUUAAAUACAGUGACUGGAUUACUCUGUUCAUAUGCAUCUACACUCUAGUCCCUGUUCUUCGACUUAGGGGCAAUAAAAUUAAAGAAAAACGAUGAAAGAACACAAAAAAGAACAUGUCAGCUCAAUCAUCAUAUUUAAAUACGUACAGUGACUAGAUCACCGAUUCAACUUAAAAACAUCCACAUGAUCCUUCACUAUCCAGCGUGACGCUCGCGUCAUAGGGAGAUGGCCAUUUUUGUAAAUAUAAAUUUGCUAGGGCUAUUUAUAAAUUUUCUUACGAGGCUAAAUUGCAAAAGACUCCUUUUUUUAUAGUAACAACUAACUGCACAAAUCAUUUAUCACGAAGAACAACUUCACUAUAGUAACUAGAUUUACUACUUAGGUUUCGUUUGGGAUUGCGGGAAGAUUGCAUUACGUGCGGUGAGAAACGACGAUGGAAAAAUACCAUAUUUGUUUCCGUACGUAAUAUUGCGUUCUGCAUAUUGCGGCUAGUCGGUUACGAUAUAUUUUCUGCGGUUCCAUCGGAGAACGCAGAAGUAUAUCCCUAUAUGCUUUUUCUCAAUUCCAUUCUAUCUAAUAGCGUUAGAUCCACCUCAAUACCAAACUAAGCCUUAAUGAUAUAUAAAUAAUUCAACUUAUUUGGUUAAUUUGUGAUUUUUAAACCUGAUGUGAAGUUCAUUUUCUUGAUAGUUCCCGCUCCGCCGCUCCCCUCGACGUCGACGCUCGCGAUGUGGGUGGGCGCAAUCUUGGGCAGGUAGAUGUGAUCUUCGGCGGCACUGACCUUCCACAGGCGCUUGACGCCGACAGAGAACGUCUCCUCCUUUGUGAUGCACCCAGAAACCAUUGUUUUUUCUGAGUGUUCUUGAGCAAACUUAAUUUUUCUGAAGUGUUUCUGGGGCUCUGCAGGUAAUUAAAUUACUACUAUAUGAGUUGGUUGGCUAUGCAAGUGAAGGAGUGGUUAUUUAUAGAGUUUGAGAGAGAGAGAGAGAGAGAGAGAGAGAGAGUUGUGUCUAGUUCGAGACUUUUCGUAGGUCCAAGAUAUGAAUUCUGAAACAAAAUGAAAGAAAGUUACAUCAUACCGUGAUGCGCCCACAAGGACUUUAAGUUUGUCGUCUUUCGCUUCUGAUAGCAUGUAAAACAAAAUGAGAGGUAGAUUCGCAUUUGAUUCAAGACUUUUAGUAGGGUAUUAAAAUGUUUACAAAGACUUGAAACUUGACCUUUUGCUCUGAUUACAUGCGAAAUAGUUUUGUUUUCUCAGUAACCUCUCAAUAAUUAGUUAGUUGGUGUUGUUCAUAUGGUAUCGCUUCAUUCAUUUAAUAUAGAAAGAAAUUUAUUUGAAAAUGUGAAUUAAUGAUGUUUCAAAUUUGGGAUCUUGGAUACCAAUUAUCGAGUCAUUUGUCACUUGUGACGGGAAUGACCAGAUAGUUAGUAUUGUUUUAAUAUUAAGAGAGAGAGAGUGCAUCGUGUCUGAGAGACUUUUAGUAGCUAGGUCCAAGAUAUGAUUUUUGCAAUAAAAUGAGAGAAAAUCACCUGUGAUACUACGCAUUUGAAAAGACAAGAAUUUUAUCUUCUCCUCUAAUCAAUAUAAUAUGAAAUAACUUCAAUUUCUCUCAGAAACCCUCAGCUAAGUAGUUGAGGCCUUUUAAGAUUACGGAUAUAAGAAACACUAAAUUUUGAAUCUUGUGCUCUGAUAACAUGUGGAACAAUCGCUCUCAGAUCUAAAUUAGUAGUAUACAAUGAAUGCUUUAAGAGAGAGAAAGAGAGAGAGGUGCCGGUCCAAACUGGGCUUCUAGAAUCUCUUACUAUGACAUGACUUUGGAAUAUUACUUGGAAUUAGGGUGGUGCAUGUGGGCCAUGUGAGUGAUGGAAUUUUUGUGGGGUUAAUUAAUUAAUAAGUGUGACUAGAAGAGCAUACGCAUGCCAAUAGCUGCCUUCUUUGAAUGUAGGGACUUUAAAGCAAGCAAGAAUCUAGAAGGAAUUGAAUAAAUAUAUAUACACAUAGAGUUGAGCUAGAAUACUCUCAAAAUCACCAAUAGGGUGGUGCUUGUGAGUUUUUAAUCAUUGGAUGGAGAGACGUAGGGUUGAGAUGAUGGUGGUAGGUGGUGGUAGGUGGAAUAGUAUUUGAUCCAAGGGGUAUUAUUAGUAAUUAAGGAGUAGAUCCAAGGGCUGGAAACUUAGAAGCACCAAGGGAUUGGUGCUUCUAAAAGGAUUCUAGCUCAAUUAUAUAUAUAUAUAUAUAUAUAUAUAUAUAUAUAUAGAGUAGAGCUAGAAUACUUGUAAAAGUAUCACCCAAGUGAUACUUGUGUGUUUUUAGCCCUUGGAUGGAGAGAUGUGAGGUUGAGAUGAUGGUGGUAGGUGGUGGUAGGUGGUGGUAGGUGGAAUAGUGUUUGAUCCAAGGACUAUUAAUAAUCAAAAAGUAGAUCCAAUGGCUAAAAACACACAAGUAUCACUUGGGUGAUACUUGUAAAAGUAUUCUAGCCCUACUCUAUAUAUAUAUAUCUCUCUCUCUCUAUAUGCGCGCAUAUAUUAAUAGUAUAAAGAAGUUUCGAACAAACAUUUUGAGAAUGUGUAUGUGGAUAGCUUUACACCGUUAAACGAGAAAACGCUUCAUAUCGACCAUUAAAAUUACAAAUUUUGAAACCCUUUGAUCAUUAGGUCAAUGAUGUCAAAAAGAUUUGAAAUUUGAUUUCUAAAUACUUCAAAUGAUAUAGAUCAUGUUCAACGGUGCUGAUCGUCGAUUUGAAGGCUCCAUCAUCGAAAACAAGUGGAUGGCAACGGAGUCCGUUUGCUACCGAUAGCAUUCCAGCUCAACUCUCUCUUUCUCUCUCUCUCUCUCUCUCUCUCUAUCUAUAUAUAUAUAUAUAUUGGAUUAAAAUAUUAUUAAUAGUAUUUGAAUUUUUUUGCUAUUGAGUUUUUAAUCUUUGAAUGAAAAAUUAUAAGGGCUAGGAUGAUUGUGGUUCCCUAGGAUUUAAUAGUAGUCCCUCUAGAACUGAGUGAGUAGUUGGUUGAAUAGUAUGAUUUAAGAAUGAAAUUCAUUAAAGUGUAGAUUUAAUAGCUAAAAAAUCGAUAGUAAAAGAGCAUAAAUACUAUUAAUAGUAUGAUUUCUCUCUCUCUCUCUCUCUAUAUAUAUAUAUAUAGAGAGAGAGAGAGAGAGACUGAAAUGUUAUAAUAGCACCAAGUUAUUGGUUCUAUUAGAUUUUCGGCUUUUGGACGAAGGAUGUACGGUUAUAAUGACAGUGAUCUUCUAGGGUUGAGUGGGUGGUUGGUUGAAUAGUAUGAUCUAACAGAUAAAAAUGAUCAAAUGAGUAAAUUUAAUGAUAGAAAACUCGAUUACAUCAAGUACUUAGUGCUAUUAGAAACACCACUAUUGGACUCUCUCUCUCUCUCUCUCUCUCUCUCUCUCUCUCUAUAUAUAUAUAUAUGUUUGUGUAUAUAAAGUAAGUAUAAUUCAAGCUUAGAAGGACCAAUUUUCAAAUCACGUUAUGUUCUUUGUCAUAAUUAGAAAUUAAGGCUAAACUUUACAAAAUUUACUUUUGCACUUUGGCCCUUGUCUCAAUUAUACGCGAUUUAAAAAUUUAUCUCAAUUUGAACCAUGCACUUUACUACUGUUUCGAAUAGGUCCAGAAAUUUAGAAGGAUCAUUGAAUUUGGAUGCAAUCAACUAAAGCUGUAAUUUAUUCAAUUAAUAUUUUUCAUAUUUUAGUAACUAUGACAAUGGUUAUCUAUCUAAUCUUUCUCAUAAAAGUUUGGCCAAAAUACAGAAAAUCCUCUUGUAAAUACCUGUCUUUUCAUUUUUCCUUCCCAACUUUCAAAAAUCUAUAUUUUGCCUUCCUUAAAAUUUCAGAAAUAUUUUUAGAGGGGUACGGUGUUAAUAGAGAGGGCAAAAUAACCAAAGUACCCUUACUUCUUCUAUAAGGAAAAAUAUAAUUUUUUAAUAUGUUUCUCUUAUUUUAAAGGGCAUUUUCAAAAUAAAUUAUAAGAAAUGAGCGAAAUAGUGAUGAAACCUAAUGGAAGGAGGCUAAAUGCAGUAAUUUGAAAUAUUGAAGAGGUAAAAUGUAGAUUUUUGAAAGUUACGGAGGGAUAGUAAAUAAGCAUGCAUUUAUAAGGAGAUUUUUUGUAAUUUAGCCUAAAAGUUUUACACCCAAUUUUAUCAAUCUUCAAAAUAUUUUGCACCUAUUUUACACAGGGUGGGAUUUAAAUUAAAGCAAAAUUUUAUACCAAGAAGUAAUUGAGACAUGAGAUAAAGUAUAAUGUAAUACUAGUUAAAGUAUCUUCACAAUGGCGUAUAAUGUAAUACUAGUUAAAGAACCCGCGCGAGGCGGCGGGUAGACAUUAUUAUAACUAGAUUUUCACCCGUGCGAUGCACGGCUAAUAUAAUAAUAUAGAAUAAUAAAAAAUAUUAUUUGAUGAUAACAAAAAGAUUUUCUAAUUAAUUUUAUAUUUUUUAACAAAUAAAAAAAUAUACUAUCAAUCUUAAUUAUAGUACAUAUUAAAGUAUACAAGCUAGAGAAAAAAAUUUUUGGACCAAACUAAAUAUUCAACUAAAAUGCAAAAUUCAAUCCUGCUCAAUUAUCUAUGAAUUGGUGUGCAAAACAAUUUACAUUUACAUAUUGAUGUGCAAAAUAAAAUGAUAACUAAAAUUGAUAUGAAAAAUUACAAAUGAUAUUAAUAUUUAAGUGUCACGCCCCGGAUUACUCGUUCUCUGGGCACGCCGACAAAUCCGCUGUCACGCCCCGGAUUACACUUUCCCCGGGCGCGUCGACAAAUCCGCUGUCACGCCCCGGAUUACACUUUCCCCGGGCGCGCCGACAAAUCCGCUGUAUACAAAGGAAUUUCUCCUGUAUACGAAGCGAUAGAUGUACCUGUAAAUCAAACACUACUACGAACAGUAGUAGAGAGCUGCUAGAGAAAACAGAAGCUAAACAAACUGAGUUUCAUAUACAUAGUCCAAAUCCAAAAUACAAAGCUACUCGCACUGGCGAGUUAAGUCCACUAUGUACAUAAACUCGAAACAAAAUAUCUACCUGCAGUAGGGGCACCUUUAGCUCAGCACGUCGGGUAGGGCUCUAACUCGCGACGCCCUUGUCUCGAUCCUGAACUGCGGAAGGCGCAGCAGCCGAAACCUGUGGCUCUGCAAAACAGGGGUAACAACUGGGCGUGAGAACUACUGUAAAAACAAGUAGUCCUCAGUGGGUACCGCCCAAAACAACAUCGGUCCACCCACUAAGUCUACAGAAGGGAGCAGGAAUAGUAGUAAAAUGCAGGAAUAAAGUCUACCGCUAUCAAACACUACACUAUCAUGCUCUACACUAACCAACUGUAGGAAAUGUCCAACCUGACCCAAUCCAAUCGGGACUGUAAGCAUACCCGUCCCCGGGACUGUGAAUACACCCGUCCCUGCCCCGUUGCGACUAUCGGGCUCUAUCCACACUAACUGGUCCGUGGAGAGCAAGUCCAACUGGCAUGAGCGACACCAACGCGAAAGCACAAAGCCUGACUCCGGAGUGGCACUCGUGGGCGCUACCCAACCGAGUAUGCAGCGUAUCUCUGUCGAGCUCAAACAGGCUCCAACUAGCCAAAGUCAAGUGAACAGGGUCAAAACAGGUCUACAAACCAAACCCACGUGCCCUCGGCACAAUCUGUGACCAAAACAAGAAUCUGGGUCCACCGCUAACCCGAACGGCACCCAACGACCCGAAACAGCCUAAACUCUGCUGAAAAAUAAGCUCGGCACCCCAGCACGAGCGUAAAUGCCUUCUAAACUACCCCAGGUAUCCAUCGCACUGAUACUGCAACGAUACAAUCGAAUCACGGCUCCUAGAGCUAAAUCUGGUAGUUUAAGCAUAUGACGGGUCAAAACGCAGGUUUUCUCCUAAGUCAAAUUUCAAGUCCAACAUGUAUAAUUUAAAUAUUCAUUUCAGCAUGCUUCUACAUUCAUAUUACAUUCAAGAUGCUAAUCGAUGAAUUAAAGCAUGAUAUACAAAAAUCGAACUAUACACGUCGACUAAACAUGCACUUAGGAGCGAAACCGAUGAUACACCCAC
rnacentral:lncRNA from 1 species